CCGUCUCUUGCAGGCAACAACGACGACCCCACCAAUAUUUCCAAAUUUGCCUCCCUUUCGUGGCUUCCAGUUUCCUCCUUACAGCGGACCUUUCCCGGAAUAUAGGUUGCCGCCAUUUCCAGGUAUUUCAAACGUCCCUCCUUCAGCACCUGGCUUUCCUGGCUCUUCAGCACCUGGCUUUCCUGGCUCUUCAGCAUCUGGCUUUCCUGGUUCCUUCCCUUCGUUCCCUGCUCCACCAACAUUGCCCAACACUACCCCUUGAAUCCACUGAAUUAAAACUAUCACCAUGAACGAUUACGCGUUCAUUUUCUAAAUAAUUAGUGCUAAAUAAAGGUUAAUGUUUGUAGGAUUUAAUCUUCUUUUUUUUUUGGGGGGGUGGAAACUUUGGCACACUUGGUUUGCUUUUGGAUCAAAUAAUCAGAGCAUAGAUUGUAGUAUUGAUUAAUGUUGUUGUUGGAUGCAUUAAAUGUGGGCUUGUUUGUAAUCUCCCUCUCUCUUGCAUUGUAGUUCUGUGUUCAUAUAAGGGAAUGAGAAUCUAUAUCUAUCCUAUUAUGUUUAAUCUUAUUAUAGUACUGUUUUAUGUUUGCUAUUUGCAUAUUUUGUUUCUAUUAAUUUAAUUGGAUAGUCGGAUGAAGCAAUUAAUUAUGAUAUUGUUAUAAACGGUUUGCAUUUUAUGGAUAGAUUCUAAUCAUAUUUAUAAAAAGAAUUACAUUUAAUACAUUAACAUAAACUGAUUGCUGGUCGUACAAUAAACCCAAUAUGGGAAACUCUAUAAAAAAGGAAAAUGCAGCAAACAAGUGUGGUGGAAAAAUUGAAAAAAAGAAAAGAAAAGCGGAGCACAAUAUAUGCCCAAUAUGCAAAAAGCGAAGAGGCACGGUAGAGCAAAGGUGCACAGUCCAAACACUUUGGUGGAAGUGGAAAACUUCAAGGGGUAGUUCUAGCAGGUGGUGGGGAGAAGGAUGGAAUGGUAGUUGGCAAAGUGGGGAUUGAAGGCAAGCUGGGCAAGGGUGGCAGGGUAGGAAUGGUAGGCAGUGGAGGAAGAGCGACGGGGUUGGGUAUAGAUGGUUGCGGCAGGGUGGGCAUCGUUGGCUGUGGGAGAUUUGGAAUCGAUGGCAACGGUGGCAAUGUUGGCAGCUGAAGAAGAUGACGCGCAGCUAGGCCAACGUUGACGCUUGAAAACGAUAAAGCCAUGAACAAUGCUAAAACAAAGCAAUUGAAAGAGGCCAUAUUCGAGAGGUUUGAAACUGAAAAAAGGAGUUGUCUUGAUAAUAUAUAUAGUUUGAGUGAGUGAGGAAGGCGACAGAGAGGCCCUGGUGUUUGGGGCUUAAAUAGGCCUUGGAACACUGGGAAUUGGGCACUCUGGUUGGAGAUAGGAAAAAGAGAGGUUAGCUCAUCUUCUCAUCUGCAUUGGACUGAAAAUUGGUGAACUACUGGUGCAUGUGGUUGGCACAGAAGCUACCUGAAUGAAGCACUGAAGUCAGCCACUUGACCAAAUCAUGGAGGUUACCAAUAAAGUCGGGUUAUCUAACAUCAGCUCAGCUCAUUGGUUCUUCUAACUUAUGUUUAUGAUUGGUACCGUAGAGAAUCAUUUAAUUAUAAUAUACAUACUAUUGAAGUUUCUACGUAUCACCGAAUGAUUAAACAGCUUUUCACCUGAAUCCUAAAGUGUAUCAAAAAACAUUGGGUUCUUCCUUUCAAGAAAAAUAAAAUAAAAUCGGACAGCAAUAUUUUAAUGAACGAAAAACUGGAAAAUAGGGAAAAAAAACAUUUCAUUAAUUUCCAAUAUUAUUCUAAUUAAUUUAUUAUUGUUAACUACUAAAAUAAAAUAACAAAAAAUAUUAUUUUUAUUAACGCUUAAUAAAAUAUUUGGUACCUGAACUUGACAUUUUUUUUUUCUAAUUUGGUAUUUAAACUUGACAUUUUUUUUUCUUACAUUGGUACUUGAUCUUUUUUUGGGUUCAAUUUGGUACUUAAACUUGACUCUUUUUCCUAAUUUGGUACCCAAUUUUUGUUUGUUCGAUUUGGUACUUGAACUUGUCAAACGUUUUACAAAUUACUCCAAUAUGCUAACAAUAUUGUUAUUUUUUUAUGAGGUAGCAAAUAUAAUCAACGUAUAAUCGAUAUGUGACAAAUGAUAUAAUAUAUAUAUUCAAUUACUUUUAGUUUUAUUUAUUUAAUUAUUUAUUUAUUAAUUGAAAAUAAUGAAUUUCUUCUAAUUUAAGUUUUUAAAACUCUUUUUUUCUUAUUUAAUAGUAAUUUAUUAAUCAUAGCUCAAUACCUAUUUUUGUAACAUGAAUUUCCUCUGAUGAUACUGACAAUACUUUUGUAGCAUAACAAAAGAAAAACAUCGUUGGUGUUUUGCGUAAUUUGUAUAACAUUUAAUAAAUUUAGGUACCAAAUUAAACCUAAAAACAAGCUUAGCUACCAAAUUAGGAAAAAAAUGUCAAGUUCAAGUAUCAAUUUGGACCCAAAAAAAUUUAGAUACCAAAUUAAAAAAAAAGUGUUAGGUUCAAAAUUCAAAUAUCAAAUUGAAAAAAAAAAGUACCAAAUUAAAAAAAAAAGGAAGAAGCUAUUCAGAUACUAAAUGUUAUAUUAAGUUUUUAUUUAUUAAUUAUUAUCUUCAAAAUUUUCAAAAAUAAAAUUGAAUGGAAAAUUUUAGUGGUAAAGCUUAAUUAACAUAAUGAAAAAAAAGUGAAUUAAAUAUUAAUUUAUUUUUUGCACAUUUGAAAUUUAACCCCUAGGAAAUUAGUUUCUCUAUAUUUUAUAUUUAAAAAUGAAAAUUUAAUUGUUGACAGAAUUAAAAUUCUUCUAUUAAAUUUAGGUUUAUUGUAACCAUUUUUUUGUUAUAUGAUUACGAAAUAUUUCUUUCAUUUAAAAAUGUCACACUAACAAAUUUAACAAAUCUGAAUUUAAAAAUCUGAAAAAUAGAAAAACUAAAUUCCUAAAAAUAAAAUGUAAAAUUUAAUUCUAAAUAUACGAAAAGUAGGAGAACUUGAAAAAUAUUUUAAACUAUUUUUAUUGAAUAAGCAUAUUUUAAACCAGGUUAACACCAUAUCUUAAGGGUAAGGUCUCAUCCACCAUUGGUGAAAAACACUCAGUACUACUGAGUUAGUAAUUAUAAUAAAGUUUUAGAUUCGAACUCAAUCUAAUUCGAUUUAUGAAUAAAUUUACUCGCUAUCUUUCUAAGUUAGAUAUAAUAUACAUAGAUUUUAAAUUAUUAUUUUUUCAUUGGCUUUCCAAAUCCCCCUUUAAUCCUGUUUUGAGAUCUGGUUCAGCUUUGGAAGAUGAAGAUAUAGCUACUCAUUUGUCUCCAUUAUCUUGUCUAUCUUUAGUUUUUUUUUUUUAUUCUUUUUCUCUCAGCAGCUAAACUUGUUUAUCACUGCUUUUAGUAAUGGUUAAUCACAGUUUCUAAUUUCUCAUUUUUACAAAAAGUUAGUGAGAAGAAUGAAUAUCAAAAGGGAUUAACAGAAGUACCAAUAAAAGUGGAAUAAAACAUAAAUAAAUAAUCCCAUAAUAAGCAACAACAAUGAAUAAACUAAAAGUACAACUCCCAAUUUUACAGACAAACAUAUAAUGGUAGAUGAAAAGUAAAAAAAAAGAAAAGAAAAAUCAGACUUAAUCUAUAACAUCAAACACAAACAGCUAAUAAGUGGGUAUAAAUGAUAGGACCAUAAAACAUAAAAUCCAAUCCGUAGGCAUCCAGAGUUAAGGCAGAAGAUUCAUGGAGUAGACGGUGCAGGUGGCGGGGAGAGGAAUGGGAUAGAAGGGAUCGUACUUGGGAUUGUGGGAAAGCUUGGUAAUGGUGGCAAAGUGGCCCUUGGUACAUUCGGCAAAGUGGGCAUGUUAGGCAUGGCGGGGAGUGGAGGCAUCGCGCCUGGCCUCGGCAAAGAUGGUUGAGUCGUUGGCAAUGUUGGUAUCGUUGGCAUUGGCAGAUUUGGGAUCGCUGGCAAUGGAGGUAACUGAGGCAGUUGCAGAAGAUGACGGGCUCCAAACCCAACAUCAAAGCUUGCAAAUGACAAAGCCAGGACAAAGGUCAAGAACAUGUAAUUGAAAGAAGCCAUUUUUUGUGUAUGUGAGAGGAUUCACUGAAGAGAUUUGUGAUGGUUGGAGUGAAGAAAAGAAGGCCUGGUGGGGGGGAUUAUAUAAGUUUAAUGCAGGAGGGUUGGGAUGUCUGGUUGGUAAGAUUUGGUUCAGGUUGUGAUUUAUGGUUGGGAAAAUGUGGAAAACUUAAUUAUUUUGCAUGUCUUUGUUAGAUUAACUCCAAAUCCAUCUUCUUCUGAGAAUUGUCAAAUUUAGUUGCAAUGAGUCACCAAAGUGUAAUAUAUUAUUAUAUCAAUUAUGGACGGAGUCAAAUUGUUCUUUGAUUUGUUUAAUAAGAAACUAGUUUUGGAUCCCUUCUGGGUUUAAACAAAGGCUAAUUUCUCUGUUGUUUGCCUCGUAGAUUAUGUUCUAGCUUGAUUUUUUGGAUCGAUAUUUAUAAAAAAUAUUAUUGGUAAAAGUAUCAUAGAUGGCUUUGUAUUAGGAGUUUGAUUGCAUUUUAUCCCAUUUAUUAAAAAAAUAAACAAAUUAGUCCUUAUACGUUAAAUUAAAGAGUAAACUAGUCCUCUCGGUUAGAAUUUUCAUCUAUUUAUACAAUUAAAAGCUAACGUGGUUGACGGAAUAACCAGAUAGUUAUACUUGGCUUGCCACAAGUACCUCAUGUCGACGUACAAGAACUAGUUAUUAACAGUAAAAAUGAAUGAAGUUUUUAACAGAAUGACCAUUUUGUUUUUUAAUCUAAUAUAAAUGGAUUAAUUUGCUCAUUUUUUUGUAAUCCAACUCUUAAUGUAAGGGCCUCCAUACUACUUUUACCAAAUAUUAUUGCAUUUUAUUUUAAAUAACUAUUUUCAUUUUGGUAUAUCCAUAACUAUCCUAAUCCAUUUUAAGUUUUGAGUUUGAUCUUGUUUAGGGUAUGUGGUAUUUAUGUAAAAUCCUCCCAAAAAUGAUGAGUCCAAAAUUCGAACUGAAUCCAAAUGUCUAGGAAAAAUAUCACUGCCACUUUUUCGAACUAUUUAUCGAUAAAUAAUUAUUUGUAUCUAAUCUUGUGCAUAAACUUAUAUAAUGAUAGUAUGCCAUACAUUAUACCUAGUUAAAACGUUUUAAAAAUAUAUAAAUAAUUAAAAUUUUUAAUUACUAACUUUAAAGUUUAAAUCCUUGACUCAGUUGGCGCUACGAGUUAAUUAGGCACCAAUUCAAUUGGAAAAGAAUUAAAAUAUUUGUAUAUGUACAAAAUAAGUUGUAUUAUUACGAGGAUAUACUUUUAUUUUUGGUAAAUUACACCCAAUGUCACUAAAAUGCUAGUAAGUUUAUAUUUUGGUUACUCAACUUCAAAAAAUUACAAAAAUGGUCAUUGAACUAUUUAAAAAUUUUCAUUUAAGUCAUUGGGUUAUUAAAAUUGUUGCUAUAUGGCCUUAUCUAUUUGCACUACCUGCAACAAUCAAAAGCUUUCCUUCUCCUUAUCUUCUACAAUUCAAUUCUUUUUCGUUGAGACAAUUUUGAACAUUAGGAAUCUGUUCAUCAAAUUCUAAACACUUUCUUCUCUGAUCUCUAACACUGAUCGUCAAAUUGACUAGGAUAUAAGGUAUGUUAUUCUACUCGUCAAUGGGUACUGAUCCACCAUACCAGUUGUUGAAUUGUCACUUAGAGUUCACUAGUUAAACUCGUUAUAAAAAAAAUUAACAUCCCAGUAACUUAAAUAAAAACUUUUGAAUAGUAAAAUGACUUAAAUGAAAACAUUCAAAUAGUUUACUGACCAUUUUGCAACUUUUUGAAUUUGAGUGACCAAAACGUAAACUUAUUAAUAGUUUAAUGACCUAGGGUGUAGUUUACCCUUUAUUUUUUUAUUAUUUUUUAAUACAAAUAAUAACAAAUUCUAAUAUGGUGAAAUUUGAACUCAUGAACCAAUUUUUAUAAAACCGCAAUUUUUACCACUUCAACCAAAAUUUUAUUUCAAUUAUUUUUAUAAAUUUUAAUAUUUUUCACUCAAAUUGAUUGUAUAUAGACAUAGUCGUGUGGUGGUGUGAGUGUGGUCGUGUGGGCCACACGGGCGUAUGGGUUUUGGGCCAAGCCAUGUAGGCCACACGGGUGAGGCCAAUCUGGGCGUGUGGGCCCACACAGGCAUGUGGGCCUAUAAUUCUGAAAUUUUUCCUAGAGUCGCACGAGUCAUUCUGAUCGACUGUGGGCCAACCGUAGGGUCGGUAAAGGCUAGUCAAACCCUAGAUUAUGUGAUAUGAUAUCCUGAUAGUUUGCUCUGAGUAGGACACUGUUAUGCAUGUCUAAUUAUUCUGCUAUAUAUAUGAUAUCUGUAUGCGAGCAUGUUAAGCAUGAUAUUUCUGAAUUCGUAAUCUGUAAUUAUGUUUGGGGUGUGAAUUGUAUAUGUGGAGGAAGUAUUCUGUAUGGCGACCUUCGCCUAUAUUCUGGCAACUUGGCUGCAUAUUAUCUGAUAUGUGUCAUACCGACACAACAUGGUGUGUAGGAAUUGGUGGGUGUUUUUUUAACCCCACAUGAUGUGAUGGGAUGGUCGGAGUUGGUGUGUAGAAGAUGGGGGUAGAAUUUUGUAUAUCUGUUCUGCAUAUCUGAUUCUGUUAUUUGUAUCUGUAAAAGACAUAGAUCCGAAUCUGAAUCUGACCGUAUAUGUGAUUUCUGUAUGAAUAGCAUGUCUAUUUCUGUUGGGUGCACUCUGAAUUUACGAAAAACUCACAUUUGUUUGUCUGUUUUGUUCAAGUAAUCCACGGACUUAAGCGGAUCGGUGUGACAGAGCCUCUCGGUGACCACGAGUUCGUAAACGGUUUAAGAUUAAGGUUAAUUUUAAUUUAAGGUUUAUUUUGGAAGUUUUGUAAUAAUUGGACUCUCCGGACUAUUUAUUUUAAUUUUGGGAUUUGAAUUUUUGUUUUAACACUGUAUUUGCGACGGUUAUCUAAACGUGGUUUACUAAAACAAGGUUUUCUGAAAAUACGAACGGGAUUUUUAAAAUUUAAACGGUUUCUAAAACUUCCACUAUAAAGAAUACUUUGGCAAAUGGAUUAAUUAGAUAAGCAUCAGGCAAUAGUUGUAAAAUUUGGACGAUUUGCCGAACAACUUUACAAAGUUUUGUCGAAAUAUCACUGUUUUCAAAACCCUUCUUUGUGACAUCUUCGGAUUCGAUCAUAAUGUUUAGGCCGGGUCUGGGGUGUUACACUCACUUCGUUUUUAGCUACAAUAGGAGCAGUUCAAUACGAAACAAUGUCAUUUAUCCAUUUUAAUACUAAAACUAAUAAAAACAAGCUUAAAUAUGCAUGGUUAAUCAAGUUAGCAACUUAAGUUUUCUAGUCCGAAAUUCGCAUAUCUUUCGACUCGAUUAUACGUUUCCAAUUCCGUCUUCACUAGAGUACUCACUGCUUCACAAGCUAUCAUUUAGCACCAAUAUUACACAAAGUGGCCAAUGUUCUCUACUUCCUCUUUAACAUGGUCAAAUAUACCAAGUAAACUUUCCAUCCAUUUUUAUUUCUUUUUCACACUUCUAACAAGCUAGAAUUCAUCUUCUAAUCAUUUCCUAUCCAAAAAUAUACCUAUUUCACUUAAUUUUUCUAAGCUUCCAUCAAUGUUCUUUAAUGGCAACUUUCAAAAUACUUGAUAAAAUAAAAAAACUAUUGGUAUAUAUAUGUAAAACAAACUUCAAAGAUUCAAAAUCUAGAAAAAAAUUGAAGAAAAAUCAUACCUUAUACUUGAAAUUGAAGGAAAAUAAUGGAAGCAAUUUUUUUCUUUCCCCCAUUUUUUUGGAGUGAAAAAGAAAGAAAGAUGAGAAAGAUGAACAUAUUUCUCUCUUUUUCACUUAUUAUAAUAUUAAUUAAUAAAAUAUUAUUACUUAAUAAAAAAUCAUUUAAAAGUGAUCAUGAAACCAUUGAUUUUUUGAAGUAAUGGUAAAAUUGUCAUUAAGUCUUUUCCAUCAAAAUAAAAAUAAGAUAAUUACACUUUAGUCUCUAAAAUUUUCUAACUUAUUCAAUUUAAUCCCUGAACUCGAUACUGGAUUCUUGACUUAACUACAUGCUCCUACUAAUAAUCCUCUGUGUUUUCAUGCCUGACUGUUUCCUCUAAAAACGAUCACAAUUUCUUAUACUACUAUUUAUUUAUAAAUCACUUACUCAAAAACUUCUACCAUAAAUAUUCUUCUUCUCUCGUUUUGUUUUUUUAAAGUGGGACUUUUAAUUAGAUCAAAAUGAGUUAGAAACCACUUUAAAACAAAAGCUUAGCUAAGUAAUAUGAGAUCUACCAUUUUCAAGCCAAGAAUCAACUUAAAAUCAAGUGAUCUAUUGGAAUCUUGAUUAAAUCAUUUAAAUCUCAAAUUGAAAUAAAGUUUAAUCAUAAAAAGUUAGAAGCUCACCUCGAUUUUGUAAAAUCAACGAGCUAUUGACCUAAUUCGAGCUAAAACAUAUGAAGAUCUUUUGAGGAUUUAAGGAUGAAAAUGUGAUUAAUCUUUGAAAUUGAAUGAGGAUUUUGUGUUUGGAAAGCUUGAAAAUAAAAAAGAAUGAACUAAUUUCGGGAGAAAAGCAUUAAUUUGGUGUUUGGCAAAAUUGUUUAAAGAGAUGUAGAAGGGAGGGAAGGAGAUGGUAGGUCAUUUAUAUAACCAACCAAAUUUUAAAAAUUGGGCUUUUUCCCAUUUGACCACCUACAGUUUCCUCCCUUUUUCCAAAUUGGUCAUUGUUUUUCAAUUAUAACCAAUUUCAAAUCUAUUUUCAAAUCAAAUCUCGUUUUUAAAAUCUAUUUUAACCAAAUUAAUUCCCGAGCUCUUAAUUUUAACCUCUUAACCUAAAAUCUUUAAUUUUAAUUAUUUUAAUAUUUUAUAUAAUUAUGCCUAAUUAUUUAAUUAUCUAACUUAAUUACUGUUUCCAGUUCACUAACCCAAUUCUAUUAAUCUAAUUUUUAGGAUGUGACAACUAAACAUUUUCACAUGAUCAUCAUUUCAAAUACCAAUAUGACAUCAAGCAAAGUUCACCAAAUGACCAAAACAUAAUUGCCAAUUCAUAUCAAAACAUGACACAACCUUGAAGCUUAAAAUUACAUACCAUUUUAACAUUUAUGUGACCAUUUCAAAUCACAAACUUAUAAAUACACAUUUAUAACCAAAACGCCUAUUUACAUGCCACUAUUAACCUAUCCCAAAAUGAUAAAAAAAAAAUCUACCGAGUCAAUGAACAGAUAAUGUGAACUCCAACUUGAUUCCAGGCGACUACAUAAUUUUUUAUGAUCUACAAGAAAACAAACAAAAUGGACAUAAGCAUACAUAAUGCUUUGUAAGUUCGUGCAGAAUUUAACAUGACUUACCCAAAUUUAACAUAACUUAAUUAUUGAACAUACAAUUAUAUAAUUAAGAACCAUGAUAUUCUUUGAUGGCUUAUGUAAACCACAUACCCAAUAAGGUUAGUUUCCUCACAAUUGAGACAUAAAACAUUUUCAUUCUUAUGCAUCACACACAAGUAAGCAUACUUAAUACACAUUUCACCAUUCACAAACAACAAAAUCAUACUAUCAUUUCCAUUCCGUAUGUCUCGUUUUUACCCGAUAAACUAUAUAGCGAAAUUAUGUUGAAUACUCGGGAUAGAAAUGCUUACACGAAUUAUGGGUCGAGAUGGUAACAUUACACACAGUUGCUCAUACGAGCUGUGAAGAUUCUGCAGCAAAUGCAAGACCUUAGCCAUCAAUAAAACAUUCAAGACCAGCACUCAAAACUGUAAUAACCUUAAUGAUAUGUUAUUCGUACCCUAGUUGUUCAUUAAGUUCAUAAGGAUCUCAAUUUAUAUCCAUAUCAAUCAGACCUUUGAACAUCAUCAUAUGCACAUGAAUGCAACUAUAUACAUUCCCUUUUUCAAUUUCAAACAUCAAUUAUACCAACUUUUACAAUUUAGUCCUUCCAAUAAUCAAAACUAUUUUUUCAAAGAUAUUCAAUUACAAGUUAUAUAUAAGUAAGCAUAUCAAACCAAAAAAGUAAUUAUAAAUCAGUUUAAUUAUUAUAUGAACUUACCUAAUAAAAAACAACAACAAACAUGACACUAAGGGAAAGUUAGCAAUUUUUUCUUUUCCACGUUUAUCUAUCGAUUGAUCCGUUUCUUGAUUUAUAUAAUGAUUUAAAUCAAUAAACAAUUCCCAAUGCCUUAUAAUGUCUAAAUAUAUGCAUAUGACCCUUUAAUAACAUUUAAAAAUAUUUCAUUAAACUUUUACCUUUAAUUCAAUUUAGUCCCUAAAAUCAAAAGUUACAUAUUUUUCACAAUUAACCCCAAGACCUUAGAGCCAACUUUAAUAUCAUCCCAUAACAGUUCCCAAUCAACUAAAUUUAUAGGAAAUUCAUGUCAAAUUUCAACAUAUUAACAUUUUAGUCCUUAUACUCAAAACUAUCCAAAUUCACUUUACAAAUUAGUUUUAUUUCAACACCAAGCUUCAAGCUUAACCAUUAACAUCCAAAAGGAUUUAAGAAAAACAAUGGUAACUUUUCAAAUUUAUAGUAUUUUUACAAAAUAGUCCAUGAGUUAGUUAGAUUAAGCUACAACGAUCUCAAAAACAUAAAAUUUACUAAAAACGAUCUUAGAUUUAACUUACAUGCAAUGACCAAAACUUUAAGGUGGCUUGAAAGUUUUUCUUCUUCCUUAAAUUAUGGUUUUUUUUCGGAGGAAAAGAAAAUGAAAAAGAUGACAUGUUUUGUUUUGUUUUAUUAUAUUAUAUUUUAACUUUACUUUUGACUAAUAAAAAUCUAAGCCCUAACCGUACGUGCCAUUAAAUUAUGGUAUAUUUACCACAUAAACCCUUAUACAUUUACUAUUCAAACCUUUUAACUAAUAAAAAUCAAUAUCGAUUAACUUAUACGACUUUUACGAUUUAAUCCUUUUUCCUUAAUUGACCAACCAAACAUCAAAAUCAUUGGAUCAAACUUUAAUAUGGCACUCUAUUAGACUCGUAAAUAUUAAUUAGUAACAUCUAAGGACCCACUCAUCAGAAUUGUGGUCCUGAAACUACUACUUUCGACACCACUGAAAAACUGGUUGUUACAAGCAUAGUUAAUGCCUCCAGUUAGUAGCUAAAUCAUAUCUUUUGAGAGCAAAACUUUUUAUAUAUAAAGAUAUGAUAUUUUAUAUGAAUCAACACUUGUACGCAUCAUGUCAAUAAGUUGUGAUAAGUACUCCCAUUACAAUUGGCAUUUGGUUAGUAGCCAAAUACAACCCAUUUUAGAAUUUUUGAAUGUACAAUAUAUGUUUAAGUUGCUCCAUCAUAAUGAUGCGAUCCCGGUCGCAUCAUGUUACGACACAACUCGAUGCUACCGAGAUUGGUCCAAACUCGAGGGGCCCAAGUGCAAAAUGAAGCUUUUAAUUUUAGUUUGGUAAUUUGGCUGCGGGAAAAUACGGACUUUGAUUCAUUAAUUUUUAGUUAUUUUAGUUUGUGUUUUUAAUUAUGUCAUAGUUUACACAUCAUUAAUAUGUGUUCUGCAUUUAAUAAAGUCAUGCAUUAUGUAACUUUCAUGUUAGUUAAUUUUUGCAUCAUUAAAUUAAGUCAAAUUAGUUUAAUUAUGUAACUUUCAUGUUAGUUAAAUUUGCAUUUCAAAAUCAUGCAUUUAAGCAUCUUAGUUUAAUAAAUGAGUUGCUGAACAUUUAUUCAACUCAUCUUAGUUUUAAUUAAUAAGUGUUUUUGUUUAACUUUAUUUAAUAAGUGUUGUUCUUAAUUAAUCUAGUUCCUAGGAUUAUUUAUUGAUGCAUGAGUUAAGUUCAUUUAAUUAUGCUUCUUUAAUUAAACUAGUUGCUGGAAUAAUUAUUGCAUAUAUGUUUUAGUUUAUUUAUUUAAGUAAGUUUAGUGUGAGUUAUGAUUAAUAAGUGUUUUCAUGUGUUUAAUAAACUCAUUUUAAUGUGUUUAUUGCAGGUGACUUUUUAGCUUAUAGUGGUUACAAUUCAAGGCUGUUACACAUUUAAUUAAGUGGCUGUUCAAGUUCUUUUGAGUUACAAUUAAAGGGGUUGUUAUAAAGGGAGCUUAAAAAUCAUUAAAGGAGUUUUUAAAGAGCAUUUUAUGCCCUUUAAAAUUCAGCAGCAACUCUUCCACUUCCAGCCGUUUUUGGAGCUUUCAAGAGAAAUUAAUCAAGCCUUUGAAUGUCAUUAAGGAGCAGGUUAAGAGAUGGUGACUAUUCAACUAGCCAAGGACAACUCAAGAGUCAUUUUCUAAGCCAUUAAAGACAUUCAAAUCAGCUGAAUUAAAGUGAUUUUAUGGAAGGAGUUAUUUGGUUCAAAGAAUAAGAAAAGACAUCAGUUUUUUUAUGGCACAUUAAGUGGAUGUUUUUGACCAUUCAGUUACCUUGUUCUAGCAUUAUAAAUAGAUGUAAUCAGCCAUAGAGGGAAGAACUUUUUGCUGAAUAUAGAUGAAAUAUUUGAAUUGUGAGCUAUCCAAUUCUCUUUGUUCUUUCGGAAUUGAUUUGACUUAUCAAGCAUAGCUUGUGGCGUCCAUCUAUUCUUUGUUGCUGAACUUAUCACCUUUGGUGUGGCGUUCAAUAUACCUUUGGUUCCCAUCAUAGUUGAUAGUGGGUCAAGGUUCCUUGCUGUUUCCUUUAACCGAAAAACAACUGAAGACCAUUUUGAGAUUCGGGUCAACAAUUCGUUAUUGUUGGUUCAUUUUUUUUGGUCUUAGCCAUUUAAUUUGUUAUUGUUUCCUAUCUAUUUUAUUCAUUACCUUUGUUUGAAGUCAUUAACUCUAUUUUGUUACUUUUAAACCGAAACAAUUCUAUUCUACUCAAUUCACGAUCGAGCAUCACUAACGACUCGAAUCAAUCACGAAAUGAGUUCGUAUCACAUAAUGUUGGGAAUAUAUAUAUUAAUUAUGAAUGUUAUUAAAUGUUUUAAAUGAAUUGGAGAUUCAAUUAUGACGUGAUUUGUGAUUACUAUUUAAUUUGAUAGUUUUUCCAACAUUAGGGGGAGAUAAAUAAUAGAUGGAUAAAUAAAUCACUUUAUUGCAAAUUAAUUGCCAGAUGCAAUUACUAACCUGAUGAGAAUAAGCAAGUGUUAUAAAUCGGCUAACGUCUUUAUUUGAAUUGAAGUCCCAGUAGGACAAUGUGUUCAAAUGAAAGUAAUGUGUGCCUGAAGCAUGGUAGAUUAAUUGGUUCCAAAGGUGAAAAUUCCCGUAGAAAAAAAUAAUAAAUCAAGAUGGUUUUAUAUUGGAGGUGAUGAUCCAAAAGAGUCCUAAGAUAUAACUAAUUAUUAAAACUCCGGAAGAGAUUUAGAUGCCUAAAAUUGAAGAUGGAAAUAGUGAAAAUAAAAAGAUAUCGAUAAGUAAUGUCAAUACGAAAAAAUAUAGAAUCGUGAAAAAUAGAAAGUUGUCGGCAACAAUUUUGUAUGCAAUAGUAUUGUUGAAAUUAUGAAAGAAAAUGAGGAUCUUGAAUAAAACUGUUAAAAAUUAUAGACAUGGAAUUGAUUAGCCCAAAUAAAAUGACGCAAUUUAAGUAGAAUUAAAUUUGGGAAGCUUUUGGACCAGUCGUCCAAAUAACUAAAGGUAUAAAGCGAGUGAGGGUACAAAUGAAGUAGUUUUGCGAAAACAAAGAAGAAUUACAAAGUUUUUUAGUAAGUCUUAGCAUUGAUUAUGAAAAAAUAUUCUUUUGUGGUGGAUGCAAUAACAUUGAGGUAUCUUAUUAGUAUGGCAAUUUAUGAAAAACUUGACAUGCGUCUAAUAAUUGUUGUUACAAUAUUUUAUAUGAAUCAUUAUAUAGUAAAGUUUAUAUUAAAAUCCUUGAAGGAUUUAGAAAGCUAAAAGCAUAUAAAAAAUUCAUGAGAAAUUGUUUAAUAUGUUUGCAUAAAUAUUUAUAUAAAUUGAAAUGAUUUGAACACGUGGUAAAUUCAACUCGGUGAAUAAUAGCUGAAGGAAGAUUAUAAAAUGAUCCAAAAUCCACGUAUAUAUUUUUAUAAAAGGGCCAUGAUUAAAGUUUGUUGAUUAUUGUUGGAACUCCUAAUGAUAUCAAAAUAUUUUUCCCCAAAAUUAUUCCUCACGCAUAACCUUCAGAAGAAUGAUGAUAUAAAUAUUUAAUAAAUUAGUUCAAGCUAUUAUUUGAAAAUCUAGUAUUCAAGAUUGAAAUACGUAGAAUUUAAGAUAUCAUGUGAUGUUGUCAUGAGGGGGACUAAAUAUGAGCUACUCUUUUUCUCUUAACCAAAGUUUUGUCCCAUUGGACUUUCUUGGUAAGGGUUUUUAAUGGAACGACAUAUUAUGCGUAUUAUAGAUAUCUGUACUUUUUUUUCCUUCACUAGAAAUUUUUUUCACAUAGUUUUUAUCUUAGUAUGGUUUUAACCAGAUACAUUAUCUACCAAAAGACACCCAAGGAGGAGUGUUAUGGAUAUUUUAUUAUUAAGUGGAUGUUCAUCAAGGUCAAGAUAAAUUUGAUGUACUUUAGGACUUCAAUAGUCAUUAGAAGUAAAAUUUUAUUUCAUUUAUACUUCUUAUUUUUAUAAAUAUAGACUUUGGAGACACAUUCUCGUUGAUGAAUAAAAGAACAUUCUCUUUUGCUAUUUAUAUUUCUAUUUAAUAAAAAAUAAGUUUAUUUCAUGUUCAUUUGCAUUUUUUAUGCUUUUAAAUAUAUAUUUUUCUAUUUUUCAAUGCUAGUUUCAAAUCUGAUAUUUUUUUAAUUAUUAUUAGUUUAUAUUUUAAAAUUUUUCUAGGUGUUUCUUAAUUCAUGCUUAUGUAAUGAUUAUAUUUUAUUUUAAUAUAUAUUAAAGAUUGAUUUCCACAUCACUCAUGAGAUAAUUUAAAGAAUAAUUUACAAGUUCACUCAAAUGAUAUUUUAAUACCUUUACUAAAAAAAAUUUAAAAAUUACAUUAUUAAUUAUUUUAUUUUAUUUUUCAAAAAUUAUAUUUAAAGACGAUGGUCGACAUCUUGAGAAUAUCAAGAGGCCAUCUUAUUUGAUGCGGAUAAAGGUGUUUAUAGAUCAGGCUAGGUCAAGUUUGAGUCGAAUUUAAGUAUGAUAUUAAUAUAUUUUAUACUUACUCAAGUUUAACUUAACUAGAAAUACGGGCCUAAAAUUCUUCCCAAGCCCGUCUAUGCUUAUAAAUGGUUAAUCUAAAUUAAUUUUAUGACUGCUCAUAUUAUUUUUAAAAAGAAUUAAAAAAAUAUAUUUAUAUUAUUCUUAAUUUAAUAUUUAAUAAAUUUAAAUAUUUUUAUUUAUUAAAAUUUUAGAUAUACUCAUCUUAACAUUUUUUAGUAUUUACAUUAUAACAAUAUUAUACAUUUAAUUUUUAUGUGUUAUAAAUUACAUGAUAUAUAAAAAUAAUAUAAUAAAAAAAUUAUAAAUUCUUAGAAAAAGGUCCAGCUUGGUCGGGAUCGAGCUGGACCCAUAUUUUAAACGAAAUGAAUUUUUUGCCCAACUCCAAAUUUUAUAGGUCUAAUAUUUUUGCACAAACCCUCUCAAGUCCAAGUAUUUAAAUCCUUUUAAAUUUAUAAAAGAUAUUACGUUUUUAUUUAUAAGUAGUUUAAAAUUAAUAUAAAAUAAUAAUAAACAAAAAAGUUUAAUGCUUUUAAUUUACUUAAAUAAAGAAGUUUUGUUCUAUUACAUCUCUUUUUAAUUUGUCAUAUUGGUACCUCUAAACUAUUUAGCUAAGAAAAUAUAAAUUCAAAAAUUAGAAAUUUGAAGAGUUGGAAAGAAAUUCAGUUUUAAAGAGAGAUGUUUUUGGGUCUUGUUUAAAAGAAAAUUGCUUUAGAUUUUGCUCGAUUUGAUGAUUCUUGGAAAUUCAAAAUCAAGUUUUAAAUGCUAUUGGAUUGUUGCACACCGGAGAUAAAAUUGAACUCUGGGCAGCUCUUGAAGCCACCUUUGGAUCAAUCAACUCUCUAAACUAUUGUAAAGUGUUUUUCUCAAAAUUUUCAGAUCUUAUUUUCGAGUUUGAAAUUUAUGGAUACACGAACUUUUUUCAGAGAGCUUUUGAUAGGUAAUAAUUUAUGAUUAUAAUUACAGUUAAUCAUAAUAUCCCCAAUUAUCGAUAAAAGAAAUUCUAGCUUAAUGUUUUCUUGGAUUUACUGGAUUUGUAUAUGUAUUAAUAUCCAAUUAUCAGUGUUUUUCCCUAAAUAUUUAUAUGGUUUUAUUACGUUGGGUUGAUUGUGUUGUUGCCGUGAACAGGCAUGAGGGAGGUGAUAGCUGAUUUGGAGUACUUUUAUUUGGACUACUUAGUUGCAGGUUUCUGUUGGUACCUUCUCCAGGCUAUGGACAUCGUUGCUGAGGAACUAAUGUUCUUCUUCCAGCCGCUGCUGCCCCUCUUUCACGGCUUUGCUCGUUCCUUGUUUUGCCUCGUCUUUAUUUGCUUUGAUUCUUGAUUUGUUUCACUAUAUAGUUUGAUGAUUAAACCCAGAUUAUUUUAUAAUAAUCCCGAUACGAAUGUAAUCUUUCAAAUAUAAAUUUAAUUUUUGGAUUUUUUUUUAAAGCCAAAGAGAACUUCAGUUGAGCCAAUUAGGUCUUAUUUAUGGAACAACUACAUAAACAAAACUAGUAACAGUAAUAUAAACUCUUUCAGACUGAAAUCCCUACGCCACUUAAUACAGUACUCAAUCUUCGAGCGACGGUCGGUGUUGAGUCAGCCCAGAAUGAAGAAGGCUUCAUAUUACCAUAAUUGACGGUCAGAAAGAGCUUUCAAGCUGGUGAAAGAUGUAAUCAAGAAUUGUUCUGGAUCCAUGAAUUACAGACGUAAACUGGCAUCUUUAACAUAUGUAUCCCGCACAUAUUCAGGCAUAGAUAUGGAACUAUAUGAAAAUUUUGGAAAAGUAAUUGAACAUACUAUAUUCAACAUCAAAGCAGCAAUAAAGAGGCAGAAAGGGAAGAGGAGAAGCAAUACAUUAUUAUCACACUUAACGAUUAUUCUGACUCGAAAGAGAAAGAGAAUCAAUGAGAAAGAUUAUCACCUAUAUUCCUUUUGACUGCCAAGUAUGAAGAUGGAGGCAAUCUUCAAACCAAAAAUGCCUCAUGGUUUUAUGUGUUCAACUUUCUACCCUAUCCUCUCAAACAGCCUGUUCAAAACAAUGACAAAACAUGAUGCUACGAUAUAUACUGUCGAAUUCAACUUGGAAACAACUAUGAAACGAGAUCCCAAGUAGCUCCACAAGCAUACAAUUACAUUAACUACAAUAGUCGCUGAAAAAAGACAACAUAAAACAAGGAUCUUACUUCACUAUGCAGCCCUGAUUUUAUCGUCCCCCACCAACUGCGAGCAUAUGUAAGCUACUCAAAAACUCUUCAAGACCCUCAACAUAUCCACUAUUUGUCACCCCUCUUUUGCUCGGCUCGGCUUCCGGCACCAUCGAUACACCUCUGCCAUUGCCGUUCACUCUCUCACUCCUUUGCGUCUUAGCGUUUCUCACCACAGAUCCUUCCCCUUUGGCUUUCUUCUUCCUCCUCUCCUUCUGCCACUUAUCAUCAUCAUCAUCAUUAUUAGUAUCCUCAGCAGAAGAAAUUUCUAUAUAUAUAUCAUCUUCAUCGUAAAACACUCUUGGGGCAGAUUUCUGGGCACUAGUUUGUUUACCUGCAUUCUUGUUGUUAGGGCAAGCAAACAUGGUUGAAACAGGUGACCAACGGGGGAAAUUACCGCCCAUGUUCUCACCAUUCCCCGAAAAUCCUAAUGGGAAAAACCCCAUAGUACACAAAUACGUUUCCUUUCCGUCCACAGGCGGCGGCGACGGAAUCACAACCGCAUGGAAGGCUCUCCUGCAGUUCUCAGCCUGACACCUCAGUGUGCAAUCCUCGUAAACCUUUGGAUACUCGUAGAGAACGUAACAGUACGGACAAGCCGUCCAGAAAGUCAAUGACUCUGAGUCGGGGGGUUUACUAGGCCGAGUCGAAUCGGUCUUCCAGGUCACAUCGGUUGUGUCUGUCUCACUAUGCUCCGUAGAAGGAGGAGUUGCCUGAUUAAUUUGACCCAUCCGAGUCGACUCGGUCUGAUCAAACUGACUGGAGGUAGCGUUUCCUGACUGAUCCAUUUGGCUCAUCGGAAUAGGCCCAAGACGAUUAAUCCAUGGGAGGAUUAGUGUGUUUGAAACUAAUUGAUCCUGUCUGUCCCAGCGAAACCGAUUUGAUUAAAUCUCCCUCCACCAAGGCGACACAGAGGGUGGGGCGAGUUGACUCGGGCAGAUUGGUAUUUAAACUGAAUUGCCCUCCUUGUAAUGUGGCAUAUCCAUCUCCGCUACUGCUUCUUACCACGGAUAGUGGUUGCGCAACUUGCGGUUGAGUUCCUUUGGGCAGAGGUGGCAGCAUCUGCGUUUGCAGUGCUUAAACUGGGGUUGUUGUUGUUGAUUGAGUUGACUCAGGUGUCCAAACUGAAAGAAUCUCAUCUCCUUCUUCGAAGGACAGGACAACACAUUCCAAGCUUCGGAAAGGAAAGAGAGCCGCAGGAUUCAAAGGGGGGGCGAGUUUCCUGUACUGAGUUGUUACGACUUCCAUGGAUUGAGUUAACGGAACCGAACCAAUCAACAAAACGAUUGAGUUAAAGGAACCGAACCAAUCAACAAAAAAGGAAAGAAACGUGGCUUUUUAUAUAAAUAAUAAUAAAAUUAAUUAAUUAUGAAAAAUAUUUACGAAAAAAGAAUGUUUGCUACCAUACCCGCGGGUGCCGCCUGACAUGUCGGCAACAUCACUUCCCUUUUUUCAGUCAAUCAUCUUUUAAUCAUCAUCGUUUAAAAAAAAUUUUGUGUCGCCAUCAUGUCAAGCGACACCUAUAUAUAUAUUUAAACAUAUCCAUGAAAAUAUGAGUAUUCACAAUGAAAAAAAUAUUUUUUUAAUGGUGUCAUCACGCUGUCAAGGUGAUGCGGUCGCGGCUAACCAUCCCUAAAGUUUGUUGUACAACGCACCUCAAUCUCCAUGCAACUGCUUAUUGGUCAUCUUCUUAAUCCACCAUGCUUUCCAAUAUGACAUUCAGUACUGGAAUUGUGCUUGCAUGUCGACAAUCAAGACCGAUACAAUAAUUGUGGGCAUGUUAUUCACCAAUGUCAUGAUGCAAUUACAAAUAGUUUUUGUAUUAAGUUUGCGAUGGCCUUGCGUCAUACGUGCAAAAGUGCAUGUAUGACACCCAACAAAUUUUCGGAUCUCCCACAAUUGCAACAUCUGGAUAAAUGCAUCUAGUAACCACCAGUUGCACCUUUCUACCGACCUCCAACACUCCCCAACAUAUAAUGUCGAUUUAGAUACAACGAUUUUUUAGUCGACCGACACCUUCAUGCUAUAUUGUUUGAUGGAAAAUAUGCAGUCUUCAUUGGUUGUGAAUUAUUGGCCUACAAACAACUCUUCUAAGUCCAAAACUGCUAGCAACCAAUGAAAAGAUAUUAUAUCUGGGUACUCAAGAAACUCGGAUGUAUGUGCCACAUCAAGAUCUACGCUCAACAUGUGGGCCCAAGGUCAUUGCAUAUUACAAUGCUACAGGUCUGGUUCUUGACCGAAGGGGCGUAUACAUUUUCAUCAUUGUCUGUGCCUUUAUCGUCGAUAUCAUCCGAGACCUUAUCCAGAUCGGGGUCACCAAAAUCUUCACCCUCAUUAUCAAAACGACCAUCAUUACCGAGUCAUUCUCUAUCAUUUGCAUCUGUCUCAAUUACCGUCGGAUGCAUCUGUAAAUGGGGACCCGAAUUAGCGUUGUUAUACGCAGUCGGAGCAUGGUGUGGAUUUUCGACUAGUGUCGAUGUUGCUUCAUAACCGCACUAUUCUGCCCUUCUAAUAUUCUAAUUGAAGUCAAACCCAUGUACAAAUGAUCGCCUAUCGAUAGACACUCUCGGAGCCUCCAUACACGGGUCUUGAACUCCAUGUUAUUAACUUAGUGGAGUGACAUUUUGAACGGGCUCUACAUCUUCUAACUCAACCAAUAGCUCAACUAGUUCAACGUUCACGUUCCCAGUCAAGCAAUAAAGUGUGAUAAUUGUCUCCAUGUCUUCAUCAUCUACAAGUUUCAUCUUAGUAUAUUUGCAUAGAUUUGACAAAUUUGGAAAUUUGUAAAAUAGUCUUGACAUCCACCUCCCACAACGUUGAGUAAUUUUUGCAAUAAUCUUUUCUUUCAUAUCUUUGAAUUUUACAUUCUUAUUAAGCAUCAUCAUUAUUUGCUAGUAAGAUUCAAAUAUAUAACCAACAAUUUCUUGUAAAAUUACCCCCUCAAACUAAACAUAUAUGAAAAAUUGGUUAUUCAGCUUCGAUACUAAAUUUAUAAAAUAAUUUAAAAAUAAAAAAAUAGCUUUUAUUUAAAAAAUAUUAGACCCUACUGAAAAAAAUAUAAUUACAUAUAAAUAAUUAUAAACUAACCUUAUAAACUCGAACUUGAUUUUUGAAGUUUAAAACACAAAUAUUCUUUUCUUUUUCUGGUUUCUCCUAUUCUACUGAACACAAAUCUUUCCUCUCUUUUUUCUUCCAUUCAAUAGAAACCAAAAAGUUCAACAAAAACCCAAAACUUCAACAGAAAUAGAUUUUUGGUUGGGGGUCGGGUAUAUAUACUAGGUGGUGCUGCCUGACAGCGUCGUAGGACCACCAGUGUCUCUUGACAUGUUGGCGGCACCACUAAUAAAUUAAUUUUUUCGGUUUCCCUUUUUUUCCUGACAACAUUUAUUAAAAAAUUGUAUCGAUGUCGCCUGACACAUCGACGACACCCAUUAAUUUUUUUAAAAAAAAUAUUAGUGGUGUUACCUGACCCACUGACGACACCCAUUAAAAAAAAUUUGCUAGUCUUAGCUUUUUUUUUUACACCAAUUUUUUUUAAAUUAUCAACACCUGACUCACCGUGAUCGUAUCACCCUAUCAGACCAAUGACACUUAGUAUGUUUUUGCAUGUGCAUUGGGGUGAGAUAUGAUUAUGUGAUGGAGAAAGUUUGUUCUGGCAGUUUAUCUGCGCUUUAUGAUUUUGGUAGAAUUUUCGCAAUAUGCUUCUGGCAGCAUUGCUGUAUAUUAUCUGAUCGGCAUACGACCACAUUAUGGUGUGAUAGAUGGAUGAGUUCUUUAAGCCUUAUUUGGUGUGAUUGGUUGGAUGGAGUUCGUGUGUAGUGGAUGAAGAUAAGAAUUUCUGUAUGACAUCUCUAUGCUAAGCAUGUUAUAAUUUAUGAUCCGUCUAUUUUGAUAUAUGCAUCUAUGCAUGAUUUCACUAUUUGCUUGUGGGCCAAGACACACACUAAGCUUUAUAAGUCAUCUUGUUUACUUAAUCUUUUCAGGUAACACCUAGACUUAGGAUUUGGUGGCACUCGACAGCUCGGUUCAGUUAUUACGUAUAAAACUUAUCUAGUAAUUCUUAUUUUAAAAUUCAUGGACUUUUUGAUCAUUGGACGGUUUUGCGGAUUUUAAUGGUGGUUUUCAGGAUUUGCUAAAUAUUUUAAUUAGUUAUAUUAAGAUUUGGCAAGUUUUCUUAAAAAGCUAAAACUUAGCAUUCGAUUUUCAUGCCUAAACAAGUCUAAGAAAAUUUCCUUUGCAAAAUUUUAACCAGGAAUAUGCAUUUUUACAAAAACAAGUAAAUAAAGUUGAUAGCAGUGUUGAUUUAUUAAUAUAACUUUCAAGAUUCGGCUAUAACGUGUAGACCGGAUUUAGGGUGUCUUACUAAAUUUUUUUUCUAAAAUUACAAUAAAAAUAAAUCUUACUUUUAAUGAAAUAUAAUUAUUUAAUUCAUGUACAAGAUAUAAAAUUAUUCACAAUUAUACAAUAUAUAAAAUAAAAUUAUAAAAUUUAUCCCGCAAUGUAGUGGAAGCAUUCCUCAAAUAAUAAUAAUAAUAAUGCAAGUACGACCUUUGUUUCUUCGAAGUAAAAACUAAUAACCCUCGAAUUAAGAGUCGAUUCCAUGAGGAAGCUACUCAUAAAAUAGAUGUUUUGAAGAUAUGAUUUUUAUAUAAAAUUACGAGAAUAAAAAGAAAAAUAAUAAAAUUAAGCUUUGUUCUUAUCAAUUUGACUGGUUAUUUUUACAGUUUUUAUCAUACCAUUACAAUAAAGUAAAUGCAAGAUGAGGGCGUUAGAGACAAGACUCAGUACGAGGGUACAACAGAGUCUCAAAUUUUCUGACAAAUGUUCCAUCUCUCUCCAGCAUCGUCAAUCAAUCUGUACGAAAAACCAAAACUCCACCACACACACAUAUUUUAUAUAUAAAGGAUAAAAAUCUAAUCCCAGUUUUCUUUUUGGGAUAAAAAAAUCUAACCCAGUUGCAAAAAACAAACCACUUGAUAUUUACAAUUUAUCCAUAGAGACCAAUAUGGCAAAAUAUUUGCAAAGCCAGUCCUUGUUUGGACACAAAAGGAAUCUUUCUAUAUUUUCCUUCUUCCAUUUCUUUCAAUAAUUUAGUAGCUUUUUAUUUUUAUCUCUUUCUGUCAAGUGUCACCACCACCAUUCUCAUCACUCAACCCCCACCCCCCUCCAAAAAAAAAGAAAAUUAAUAUGAGAAAAACCCAUAAAUUCUGACCAAUCAAAAUCCCCCACCUUCUUCCAUUUUUCAUCCUACAAUGAGGUUGGGUAGGGUUGGGAGGCUUUUUUCUCUCUUUGGCAACUAGGGUUUUGCUUCAAUGUUUUCUUCCUGAUGUCAUUUUAUUUUCUUUAGUAUCGGUUUUUUUUUAGAUAAGAGUAUUUGAUUCUACUGGCUUACUUUGGAAAGCCAAAAAAGCAAAAGAAGAAAAAAAAAACCCAGUUGCACAGCUAAUCUCUUGAUCCUACUACUGUUUCUUAUCUGUUUGCUGCUUCACAACAGAGAUUCUCUUCUACACAAUUUUCUUGGUACUUAAAACUUUCUUUUCUCCUGUAUUUUGCUUGAUUUAAGGUGAGAAACUGAGAUCUAUCAAUUUACAUACAUAUGUAUAUUGGGUUUGAUUUCUUGUGACUAAACCCCAUUUUGUUAAUGUGCUUGUUAGUAGCAAUUAGCAUAGGGUUCAAAUUUUGAUUCCUUUGAACACAUGUGUUUCUUUAACAAACCGAUUGCUGUUGUUUGCUUGUUUUUUGUGGAGUGGAAAGAGAAUGACGAGACAAAGGAUAGAGAUCAAGAAGAUCGCCAACACAGCGGCACGACAGGUGACAUUCUCAAAGAGGAGAAGAGGACUUUUCAAGAAAGCUCACGAGCUUUCCACUCUUUGCGAUGCCGAGAUAGCUCUUAUAGUCUUCUCAGCCACCGGCAAGCUCUUCAAAUAUUCCAGCACCAGGUUACUUAUCGGUAGCUCUUCCCUUUCAUCUCCCAUACAUACCUUAUCUCUGCUGCUUCUCCAUUUGGUUGUUUGGUAACUGUGAGAUUAAUUUGAUUUGAAACAAGAUCUGCCAAAUCAAGAGAACUGUACAAGAAUCUAAAUUCAUAAUGACCAAUGUACUUGAAUCUUAUAUUUUUCUUUUCAAAAAUUAAAAAAAGAAAAAAAACUUCUUUUAAUAAUCCAUGUCAGAAGCUGGGUGGGGGACUUAGGGUUGGGUGAUAGUUUCAUCAAAUUCUUUGUCUAAUCAAUCUUUGUAAAUUUCUAGUUGGUACUUGACUGAUGCUUUCCAUGAACGAAACCUUAGGUUUUCAUAAAAUAUUAGGGCUCCUAAUCACCAAUCCUAUACAUGAAUAUCUACAACAAUAUUACAAUGAUUUAUGUUCCAUAUGUUGUAAUAAGCGUAUGCAUUUCUACUAUUUUAGGUAAAUCGACAUGAAUCCUGUCUUGUUUUGGUGUGUUGGCUUAUCUAUGAAUAAAUGUUGUUUAUUAUCUCUUUUUUAGUAAAAUUUUAUUUUGAUUAACCAAAUUAUCCAUAUAUAUAUAUAUAUAUAUACAUAAAUUUUAUGUUUAUUUAACAAUAAGAAUUUGUUGAACUUCAAGCUCUGACCUAUUAAUAUAGAGUUCACCUUUCCUAGGAAUAUCAUGAAUAGCAUGGUUCAAUUCAUCAUUGUGUAAAAAAAACAAGAAUUCAUCUAUUAAUAUAAUAUCAAUUUAUGAAUCCUAAAAUACAUAAUUAAGUUUAAAAGCAGACAUAUAUUAAGAAAAUGUGACAACAAAUAAGAUAUGAUCAAAUCUUUCAAUAACAAUAUUUUUUUUUGGGAAAAGAUCCGCUUAUAAUGAUGUAAAACUAGUUUUAUACUCUUUCAUAAUUUCUUUUAUUGUUGAUAUUUUAACAGUCCGACUAUCAUAUUUCAUGCAUGUCAAGUUUGUAGUAAAUAAAAUUGUUUUAACUAUUUGUUUUGUUUUAAAAAAAUUCAAUCGUUAACUAUUUAUUAAUUCAUAGACAAUAUUUUUUAUCGAUAUGAUAGAUAUACCGGAUCGAUUCAAAAUUUUACAUGCAUGAAAAAUUCAAUUAUAUUGAUAAAUUCAUCGAUUGGAUGGUUAAAAUAUUAAGAGUUAAUAAAGUAAUGAAAUUGUUCCAACUUAUUGAUUUUCAUUAACUAACCCUAGAUCCUUGCCCCUAAAAAAUGGAUGUUUCUCUUCUAGCUCCAUCCUGUACUAUUUACAUUACAACACAACAAAAAGACGAAUGAUAAUAUAACAAAGGAUGUUAAGCAAAAAGCACCUUCAUUUCUACAUAACGGAAAGUGGUGGGUUAAAAGAAUGUAAAAUCAUGUUAUUUUUACAUCGUUGUAAGUGGACUCCAUCCCAUUCCAUCCUUUAUAAAUUCAUUUCUUUAGUUUGUUGUAGAUCUAAAUAUUUUUACCCUUUAUAACACAUUUCAACCUAUAAGAGCAACAUGCAUAAAUUAUGAAGUAUACCCAUUACUAAACUAGUUCUUUGUAAGAGCCUCUUCUCCCAAAAUUAAUUUUAAUCCUAAGUGGAAUAAAAAUGAUAAAUUUUAUUAAAGAUAUGAUUUAAAUCUCCCUAAUUAAUAUUAUUAAUAUAUAUUGUAGUCUUUACUCAAAAUUUAAAAAAGUCAAAUAUGAUUUAAAUCUAAGUCCUAAGCUUUAAGCCCUAAACCCUAAACUCUAAACCCUUCCCCCUCAUACUAAGACUAUAGAAUGUUCUUGUGAAUUAUGGCCAAUACCAGGUAUAUAAGCAGUGAUUUCAAACCCACAGGUUAAUCGUACUCUGGCAACUUUACGUAAGGCAGAGUUUGGUUUAUUGGGGGUGAUAGUGAAAAAGUUGACAGAUAAGUCACCUUUACUGCCACUCUAUAGAACCGUACAUGAGGUUUUCACCUCAUAUAGCUCCUCGCUCAAUUCUUUCGAAGUCAUUGGGUCCUUUUCCUCGUUCGAGAAUCUCCUCCCUUCUUCCACUCUGUCCCGAAGAGUAACUAGGACAAAUUCAGUCACGUUUUCAUGUUCCAAUUGAACACUUUCCAUUUUUGAUUAUUCUCAAAAGAGAAGAUUUUUUUUACCAAACAUCUGCGGAUCCAAUCACACGAUCUUAUAAUAAGAACAAGAGAUCUUUCUCGAUCAAUCCCUUUCCCCUCAUUCUUCGAGAAUCAGAAAGAUCCUUUUCAAGUUUGAAUUUGUUCAUUUGGAAUCUGGGUUCUUCUACUUCAUUUUUAUUUGCUUAUUUAUUAUUUUUAUUAUUUUUCCCCCUCUUUUUUUAAUUUCUUUUUUUUAUUUUAUUCCCUUCCAUCAUUCCCUAAGUCCCAUAGGUUUGAUCCUAUAGAAUUUGACCCAUUUUCUCAUUGAGCGAGGGGUACGAACUAAAUCAAAUUGAUUUUUCGAUCAAAAAUAUGAUUAUGGGUAUAUAACAACUACCUCAUUAUAAUAGUAAAAAUCUUUAUAGAUAAAUAAAGCUUUUUAUAGAAAAGAUCAGUUCUACGUAAACCCUCAAUUUUAAAUGUAAAUAUAUAUAAUCCAACAUCUUUAUUAUUAUUGGUAUCCCCCAAAAUCUAUAAGCUUUUACAUUAUGAAAUGGAAAGGAAACAAUAAUCUAACAAACUCAAAAGGAGAGAAGGAGCAAAAGGAGAAUGAAAGAUUUUUUUGAAGUGGGUUGAGAGUGAAAAUGAACCAUGGUAUGUAUAAAAGUUGUAUUGGCUAAAAAUAACACAGAUAAGUGGAUUGAAUUAGUUAAAAAUAGUUUGAAAAUGAUUCAAUGAAUUUAGACUUGACUAAAUAUAAAUGCUACUAGUUAAGAAGUUUACUUGUCUCUCAAAAAUUCAUUAAAAAAGAAAUUCAAAAACAAAAUGACUCAAAUGUAAAUUACACUAACUUUUGGGGCCUAAUGCGCAAAUUCACCUUUAUCAAUUUGGUUAUUACUAGCCCAAUGAAAUAUAAGGACUUAUAAACAAUGGUCUCAAAUUUUUUUUUUUUUAGAAAUGUGAGAUUCAUUCUUUUGAAAUAUCUCAAAUUUUCAACACCAGUUAACUGAUAUUUAUAUAGUAAUUAAAGGAUUUUCUUUUAUAAAUUAUAAGGAAAAAAUUUUUAUUUUUGCAUUUAAUGCAAUUUUUUUACUAAAUUCAAGAAAAAAAAGUUGAUUAACAAUAAUUUUCUUCCCAUAAAUAUCAUCUUGAGAAAAAGAGAUGCUAACAAAAUGAUAUUAAAGGAAGAUAAUGUGCAAUCAAUGAUUUUUUUUUGUGUGUUAAGUAAAAACAAUGCAUUCAAUGCAUAUAACCUUUCUAAAUUAGUCCUAUGUUCAAGAUUUGAUAUUUCUCUGUUAAUUCUCUCCUUUUUUUUUUUUAUGAAUUUAGCUUUUAUUUGUUUGAAUUCAAUUUAAUGUUGGGGUUGAUGUUGGUAGUUUCCCAUUGCUUAUGGUCUUUUCAUUAGUUUACAAAGACUAGAAAUUUAGUUGCUAUUGAAAAAUUGGUGGCUCCCAUGUGAAGAUUACAAAUAUUAAUGGUUGAAUACUUUAUGGUAGUUUCUAUAUGAAAAAUCCAAGUUAAUAGCUUAGAACCCAAAGUCAAAAUAAACAUGAAUUCCAUAGUUUUAACUAAAUCUAUUCUUAAUCUUUAAAAAUAUGCAUUCAAAAAUGGAAAGAAAAAAAAAAAAAACUCUUAGAUCGAUUUGAGGGAACAGGAGUGUUAAGGGUGAUCAUCCAAGUCCAAUAGUGGUGUAUAAAUUGGAUUAUAUUAUAUAGGAUUUUCUUAACUUGUGUUUAAGGUCAUUUUAUUAUUAAUUUGAUUCUAUAUAUUUUUUAGGUUUAAUACAUUACUUGAUUGAACUUUGAUAAAACCUAAUUGUUGAAUUACAAUUUACAUUAUGGCCCAGUAUGAGGCAGGUGAUUGAAAGGCGCCGUUUGCAGUCAGAAAGGAUUGAUGGAUUGGAGGGCGCUCCAUCUGUUGAGCUGCAGGUUACAACUUCUGUUUUUUCUCUUAUUGUUUGUAUUGCACGUACAGAUUUAUGGGAAAUUAUCUGUUUUUAUUUAUAAUAAUUACAAGGUAAAUGCAUUCCGAUGAUCAUGAGAUGGAUUAAGCACAACUAAGAACCCCUUUUAAGAUCUUGAACUUCUUGUGUAACUAGUGCUGCCUGUAUGAAACAUUAGAUCCUUGAAAAGGCCACAUUUUUUAUCCUAUCUGCCUGGAAACCGAACCGCAUUUUAAUGAAGUUGUGAACUGGUUUGUUUUAGCUGGAGAGUGCUACUCAUUCCGUGUUGAGUAAGGAAAUUGCAGAAAAGACCCAAGAACUGAGGUAAAUCCGAGUAUUUAUUACUGUGAUAUAUGAGGUUGUCAAUGCCAUAAUGAUAUUUUGGCAUGGUUUCGUUGAUAGACAGCUAAGGGGAGAAGACCUCCACGGACUAAACCUAGACCAGCUGAAACAACUAGAGAAAUUAGUCCAAGGUGGCUUGAGCCAAAUUUCAGAAACAAAGGUGUUUUCUUCAAGCCCCAUACUCAUCUUUGCUUUUUCAAGUUUUAUUAUUUUCCUUAGUUGAGUCAGUGGAAAAGCAUUCAUGUUUCAGGAUGAGCGAUUUUUGAAAGAGAUCAGCACCCUGGAGAAGAAGGUGAUUGAUAUAUAAAUGGCUAACUUAUAAGAAAUGGUCAAAAGCCAUGCAUGCAUUCAAAGAUUUUAAUGGCAAAAACAUCCUUUUUUACUUAACUGUUUGUUUAUACCUUGAAGGGAGCAGAACUGAAGGAAGAAAACCUGAUAUUGAAACAGCAAGUGAGUGUGUUACACCAUAUCUUGUUUCUUGGUUUCAAUACAUUUUCAUUUGACAGCCAAGUUAAUUUUGGGUAGGUGGAGAAAUUACCGCUUGUGGUCAAAGGCCAACCAUCAGAGCCAUUUCCCCAUCUUCACAAAUCUGGAGACCCCCCUCCUCCUCCUCAAGGGUAUAACACCUCUGAUAUUUCACUCACCUUGGGGUAAGCUCUCAUAUAUACUUUGUAAACUCUUUUAUCUUUUCCUACACAUUAAAACAUGGAUAUAAAAUAUGAUUUUCGAUAACAACUUUUAAGAAAAAAAAAUGCAAGUACGUGUGGUAUAUUGCUAAUAUCUGCUAUAGCCCGGCCUGAGUGCAUCAACCAAUGCCCUUUUGCAGGUUACCUUUCCCUAGCUGAUAGAAAGGUUAGCGGGGAUGUUGUGAAGAAAUGCUCCUCAUCUUUGCAUAAAAUCGUAUCUUUAAAGCUCAUCUAUACGAGUAAAUUUACAACCUGGCUCCUCUAUGUUAAAUGUAUCUAUAUAUCUAUAGGCUGAAGAUAACCAUUUAAUUAUCAAGUUCAUUGAUGUUUACGAAAACAAAAGAAAAAGGUAUUGCAAUAAAACUGACUUUUAUAUGCAAGAAAAAAUCGGCUAUCUGAUACUAUCCACUGCCAUCCCUGCAAGUAGAGAAAGGGUAUAAAUAGAUGCUAAGUGUAUGAUCAAAGUAGGGAUCGACGAGUUGGAAAGAGCUGUGGAGGCUAACUCCAGCAUUGCAGGAGCUCGAUGCAAUUAUCACAUUUCUUAAAAUUCUUUAUUUAUAAAGACAUGUCCGUAAGUGGAGAAAUUUCAGAGAUUUAUUUCCAUCACACUUGUUCGUAUACAACGUAGUGAAUACUACAAUAGUAAUAGAUAAAUGAAGAGAGCACAUUUCAAUUGGUGUUAGGAAUUUCUCUGGGUUUUAUCAGUAUUGGGUCAAGUCUUGGUUUGAGGCUAUAAUGAGCAUGAGUGAAAUAUAGUAAAUUACCUUUUGAGUAAAGUUUUGCAUCUUUAUAAAAAAAGAUACCAGCAACUCAACACUAAUAUUAUCAAGUCUGCUUUCUGCCUUGGAAGUUUCUGCUUUGUAGGGCAAAGAUGAAGCAUUCAAAGGAUGAUCUCUGUUAAUAAUCAUCUCUCAUUAUAUAAAAUUAUUAAUUAAUUUAAUUUUUUUAUUUUAAAUGCAUAUUUUUAGUAUUAAUGUUUUCUACAUCAAUUUUAUUUUAUUCAUUACAUUGAUAAUAUUUAAUUUAAUGUAGGGAAAACACAGAGAAAACGAUGAUGCCUAAAUUCUAAAACCCAAUAUUAUAAUUAAAUUUAACUAUUUUAGUUGAUAAUGUUAAUACAUAUCUCGUGCAUAAUCCACCGAAAGAGCUACUAACGGAAAUGGAGGAGGAUAGGAAAUAUUUUGAAAGUUAAAAACAGUUAUUUUAACAUUGUCAUUAUAUUGGAAAUAUUUUUAAUUAAUAUGUUUAAAAUUUUAAAUUUAAAUUGUUUUUAAAUAUGUUUUGUACAUUAAAAUUUUUAAAUAUUAUUUAUAUAAACAUUUUAAUUAUUUUAAAAAAAACUAAUAUCUAUUUAAAACAUCAUUAUAAAAAUUAAAAAAUUGUUUUGAUUGAUACAUCUAAUCAGCUCAUGCAUCGCAUUGGAUAUUCAAACUAGUUUUCUCAAUAUAGAAAUAUUAUCCAAACUAAAAACUUAAUAUUGCAUAAAUAAUUAUUUUAAGAUCUUUAAAAUAAUAUAAUUUUUAAAAAUAUAAAGAAUUAUUUGAUGCAAAUUAGAAUCGCAAUAAAUUGAUUCCUCCUCCACAUUUUCCCUUUGUUAUACAAACUUUAAGUUGUGGAGGUUAUAAAUUUUUGUGUGUAACUUUAAUAGGGAACGGGAGGCUAACCUUAAUAGAUAGAGGAAUAAUUAAUUUGUUGAAAAAAUUGUUUAUGAAAACGGUUUUAUGGUGUAGCAAAACUUUAAAACAUUUUCCUAAAAUUGGAUUUCCACUAAAUUUAGAACUUGUAUUUUUGAGCUAGCGAGUCUUGUCAAAUUCUGAAUCUAACGACUAAACCCUUCUAGCUUUUGACUAAAUGAUUUUCUUCGUUAUUCUCGAACUUUUAAAUGAUAAGAGAGCGAGUUCUUAUUAAGAACCGAAAACAAAAUGAAAAGUUUCAACCUUUUAACGGGGAAAGAUAACUUUCUUUAUGGGGAAACUAAAAUUGAAAAUAUAAUGUUGAUGAUCUAGUCAUGUUGUCCAUAUAUAAUGUGCAAGGUGCAUGUAAUAAUUUUAUAUAUUGAGGCUCUUGUUCAUAUAUGUGGCAUUCACUUGUGUCACGGGGUUAGAACUUUAGUCUUGUAAUCUAUGCGACUUUAGGCAAUUUCUUUGUUUCAAACGCGCCUAAGUCAGCCUAAGUCAAAUUCUCUAAGGCACUAGAAAUAUAGCGGAAGCAUAAUGAAACAAAAAGAGCAACACGAGAACUAAAAAGUCAUAGGAAAACAAUGCACACCAAAUGUUUGAAUAAAUGCUCUCAAUAUAUUAUUAACCCAAGAAUAACUAAAUACAAUGAGAUGAAUACAAAUGAAAGGGGAGACCUCUAUUUAUAGUUGAGCUCUCCCAAAAUCAACUGUACAAAUUAAUGGGCUUCUUCAUGGGUUCCACGAAUCAAGCCAGUUUAAGCAGGUCAAAUAUGUCCCAUUUAAUAAGUUGGUCUGUGUGCAAUGGUAACGGGUUUUGAUCCGUGGCCCAUGACACUUGCACUUAUUUGGCCGAAAGUGUCACAAGGGGUACAUUGGUCACUUGGGGAUGAGAGGUUGACUAGUUUUUGUUGGAUACAUGGAUGGUUGGUUUUGGGUCAUUAAACACUAGUAUAGUGGAGCAAGGCCUUUGGAGGAUAUUGCGGUUGUUAGAGGCAUGGCUACAAGAUCUGGUGAGUGGGACUGGGAGAAGCUCUUCGGUUUAAUACCACAGUUCUUGCUGAAUAAAAUUGCAGGUAUAAUGUCGCCCUUGGACGGUACAAGUAUUGACAGGUUGGCAUGGAAUUAGAGCGAUGCUGGUGGAUUCUCAGUGGCUCGAACGUAUGAGGGGAUCGUUGGCACUAACUGGGGAUAUUCUAACCUAGUUUGGCAACUCAUUUGGAGAUGCCAAACACCUCAACGUGUUCAUAGUUUCUUAUGGCUGGAUUAUCGAGAUGGCCUUUUGACAAAUGGUGAAUGCUGGACGAGGGAUCACGGACGAUGCAUGUUGCAAUUGUUGUGGAGAGUUGCUGGAGGCAAUCCUUCAUGUUCUCCAUGAUUGUGUCUACGCUAAAAAUGUGUGGAAUUCAUUGCUAACGAGUAAUGUUCGAUGCUGGUUUUUUCAACUACCAUUAAAUGAGAGGAUUGUCAAGAAUAUUCAAGAAGCCUUCCAUCUCAGUUUUGUUGGUAUAAAGUGGAGUAUGUACUAUUCGAUCAUUAUUUAACUACCAUGGAAACAACAAAAUAAUUUUAAUUUUCAAGGCUCUCGUAGUAGCACAGAGGAGCUGAUUCGUACCAAUCUCUUAUGGGUGAGAAGUAUAUAUAAUGCUCAGCGGCGGGGGGUGCAAUUCAUAUGGGGAUGUCUGCUAAUGCAAAUUGGGAAGCACCUGAGGAGGGUUGGAUGAAACUCAAUACUGAUGUUGCUGUAGACAGAAGUAAAUGGCAUGCAGGUAUUGCUGGUUUAUUCUAAAACGCAAGAGGAGAAUGGGCGUUGGGAUAUGCUCGACACUUGGGGGAUGUAUCAGUCUUUCAGGCAGAGGCUAGAGGAAUUCUUACAGCUAGCAUGGAACCAGGGGUACAGGAAAAUUGUUGUUGAGAAUGACAAUGCCUUACACAUUGAGACAAUUGUAGUGGUGUGACAAGUAACAAUGAUUUUGCAAAGCUAAGACAGAUAUAGAAAGCUUGUGACUAGGAUUGGCAGCUAAGUUUUCGGCACGUCGAACGAGAGGCAAAUACUUUGUGCGGACAAGUUGGCUAAUUUGGGGAAGUUACUAAUUAUGGACCUUGUUAUCUAAUUUGGGGAAGUUACUAAUUUUAGGAAGAGACUAUAAAGUGAUUUUCUCAUUUAGCAAGGGGCCAAGGCUCCUACCCCUUUGGCUACAUCCCUAGUUCUUCUUGAACCAAGUGUGAUUUUUUUUUUAGUAUCAUGUCUAAUUUACGGUCAGAAUUUGAAGUUCGUGGCUAUCCCUUUUAACAAUGAUGUUUUUAAAAUUUGAAUUUAUAUUAUUUUUUUAGGAGUACGUUUUGGUGAUAUCAUUAGCGUCGAAACCAUUUUUUUGAAAACAAAAAAUUUAGGGUUGUCGACUUCAAAAAAAAUUAAAAUUGGGAGUCGCCACCAAUCUUUUAUUGAGGUGUGAUUGGAUCACCUAAAAAACGGCUUUGGUCUACGAGUUUUAAAAAAAAACGGGUCCGGGAGUCAGUUACGUACAAGGAAGGAUUAGCACCCUUGUAACGCCCAAAAUUGGUACCUAAUUAAUUAAUUAGUGUCUUAAGGUCGAAAAAAAUAUAAUCUUUAAAACACUUAAAACGUUACGUAUUAAGACCCUUCUCAAUUCAGAGAAGCAAAAAUGUCACACCCAAUGCGUUAGGCCACAACAUUCUAAUUUCCUCCAAAAUGAAUUAGGUCAGAAUACUCGUAUAAUGAAAAAAAUUAAAAGAAUAUCCAUUUAUCCAAGAUUUAAGAAAUCGCGACCCAAUACGUUAGGGCACAAUUCCUUUAGAAUCCCAAACUCGAAUAUUCCUUUAUUAUUUUUAGANNNNNNNNNNNNNNNNNNNNNNNNNNNNNNNNNNNNNNNNNNNNNNNNNNNNNNNNNNNNNNNNNNNNNNNNNNNNNNNNNNNNNNNNNNNNNNNNNNNNNNNNNNNNNNNNNNNNNNNNNNNNNNNNNNNNNNNNNNNNNNNNNNNNNNNNNNNNNNNNNNNNNNNNNNNNNNNNNNNNNNNNNNNNNNNNNNNNNNNNNNNNNNNNNNNNNNGUAAAGAAUGAUGUGAUGCUAUAUUAAAUAUACAAUGCAAUAAUAAAUAUUACAAUGGCAUAGAAAUAAUAUAAAUAAAUGAAUAAAUAAAAUCAAUAUACAUAAUAAAAAUAAUCACAUACAAAAUAUCAAAUAAAUCAUAAAAAACAAUUCUUUUUAACAUAUAAACGAAAACAUGAAUUAAUAAUCGAAUGAAGAAAAUAAACAAAAUAUAAAGAAUAAAAGGCACAUAAUAUAUGCAUUGAAAUUAAAAGCCUUACACAUAAUUUACAUAUAUAACUUUGGAUUAAAAUUUAUAAAAGCAGAAUAUAUAAUGCAUUUGUGAAAAUAAAAUAUAAAUUAUAAAGUGUUAAAAAAUACAUAUAUUUGAGCAUUUAAAAAAAUAUAUAUAUUCAUAUAUAUAAAAAACUGGUUAAAAAUAUUAAUAUGUAUACAUACAUAUAUAUACAAAGAUAAAUAUAACAUAUAUAGAUUAUACAAAAAUAAUUAUAUACAAAUAAAAUAAAAUAAAAAUAAUUACCUCAUAUUAAAAAAUAAAUAUGCGAAAAUAUUAAUUUUUUAAAAAAAUAUAAAUACGCACAUAGAAACAAGUAUACAUAUAUAUAUAUAGCUAAAAUAAUAAUAAUUACAUAUGAAAAUAAUAAUAAUAAUUACAUUAACAAAAUUAAUUAAUUUUAAGAAAAAUAUAAAAAGGAUUAAAUUGAACUACAAGUAAACAAAUCUGUGGUAAAUAUGCAAAUAAAUAAAAUCUGGAGGACUAAAUUGAACGAGCGAAUUACAUAGAGGGGCUGGAAGGGAAAUUUUCCCUUCUCUGAAACGGUGUCGUUCAAAAGGAUUAAAUUGGAAUUUAAAAUAAAUAAAAGGGUAAAUUAAAAAAAUAAAGAAAACUUAAUUACAAAAACAUUAAAAGACGGUGGGGCUAAAUAAUAAAAUAAAAUAAAAUUCGCAGUGGUAUCACCUUCUCCCUUUUUUAAAGUCGUAAAUAAGUAAAAAAUAAUCGAAAGAAAAAAAUAGUAAGCCACCUUUAAAAAGCUGCCAAUCGUUCUUUUUUUAUUCCUCCUCCUCUUUUCUCUUUUUUUUUUCACAAUGAAGGGAGAGGCCUCUAUUUAUAGUUGAGCCUCCCCAAAUCCAACGAUACAGAUCAAUUACAUCAACGGCUGAGAUUAAAGGGAAUCUACAAAUUAAAUCUCUAAGAUUACAAAAUCAUAUAUUCUAAGAUUACAUAUCAUAUCUAAGAUUACAUAUCAUAUCUAGGAUUGCAUAUCAUAUCUAAUAUUGCAUAUCCUCAAAAUUAUGUUUUCAUAUGUGAGCCCGGGCUAAAAUUGGGUAUUACAAUUAGUAAUUGACAAAUACCGUAUAGAAAUAAAAGUAAAUAUAAAAAAGGUACACUGGAAUAUCAAAUACUUACCCCCAAGAAAAUCUUUUGUUUAAAAUUACGAAGUUAAACUGUAAAAAAUCAAAGUCAAAGAAGAUAAUGUGUUGCUUAAUGAACUUACAAAAGUGCAGUAUUUAUAAUUGUAUAAGGUAAAAUCUCUUAUCAACUAAUUGAUAAUCCCAUUCAAAUUUUAAAACAUUUUGGGUAUUCUUAACACUGCAAUCAAAUAAUUCCAAGAGAGCUGGAAAUCGGAAUGAAAGUUGGGAUUUGUGAAUUUCGAAACAUCAUUGUUUUGACUUCAGCAUUUUACCCAUGGCCGAAAAGGUCGAAUAAAAAGACCCUGUCGUUAGCGAAUCGGUAAUAAGAUAAAAUACAAGUACAAGAAAGAUUGGUCCAUAUUGAAUCCACCGCCUCUCGACUCUCCAAAUCCAAAGGCGACUCCUCCUCCAAGGAUGGGAGAAGAGAGGGUGAAAGAAGAGGCCUUGCAGCUUAUUGGGAUGUUCCAACUUCUUCCUCGUUUGGUGGUUUUCGAUCUUGAUUACACCCUCUGGCCUUUCUACUGGUUUCUUUCUUUCUUCUUCUUCUAUAUAAUUUCUGUUUUCAAAUGAGAAUACCCACAAAUUUUUGUCUUAAUUCUAUUCAUUUUAGUGCUUUGAUCUUAGUUUUAGUAUAUAUUAUAGCAACCCUUUAAUCAGAGCUUACUGUUUAUCUAUUUUUUAAUGGAACAGAGUCAAUUUUCAAAAUUCUGCUUUUUUUUUAUUAUUUUAUCACCAUUUACUAAUACUUAAAACCAACCAAAAUACUUGGGUUUUCAUGUUAGUUGUAGAAACAAUAUGACUGCCUAUUGUAAGUGUCCUUAGUUUAUGUGCCUUGCUCUUUAUUUUACAACCCAGACAAGGCAUGAAAAGAAAUGACAUUUUAUGUUGUUUUUGUUGUUGUGGAUGUUUGGAUUGGCAUGUUUUCCUGCUGAUGCUUAAAAUUUUCAGUCUGCGCCGCUCCAAACGUGAAACCCCAUCUUUGUACCCCCAUGCUAAAGGCAUAUUAUAUGCACUCAAGGACAAGAGGAUUAAUUUAGCUAUUGCUUCAAGAUCUCCGACUGCAGAUACAGCAAACACGUUUCUUGACAAAUUGAGCAUCAAAUCUAUGUUUGUUACAAAGGUGAGACUGUUAGAACUCCCCUUCUACUUGUUUAUUAGCAAGGUUGUGUUUUGAGCUGCAGUGUUUACAGGCUAAUGUAGAGUGAUGUAGCUAAAAGAUUAUCCUUGUCAAUUCAUUCAUGGGUAACCUUAUUUAUAACAAGCUGACCCAUAUGCAAAGUUGCUCUUUUGCUGCUUAUUGAUAACUGUUUGUUUCACGUUUCAAUUAUUCUGGUUUGGAUCAUUCAGGAAAUUUUUUUCAGCUGCAAGAACAAGACAGAUCAUUUCAGGAGAAUUCAGUCAAGGACUGGGAUUCCCUUCAACUCAAUGCUCUUUUUUGAUGAUGAGGAUUGGAACAUAGAAGCUGUAAGAAUGGUUUCUCCUAUAUUCUCUGCUUGCCUCUUCUUUUUUAUAUUUGGUCACUUGCUGUUAUUCUAUGGUAUUGGGUAUUUGGACCUUCUCUACCCUUUCUCUGUCAUGGUCUAUUUUGCUUGAACUCUUCUUCUUUUUUCUCUCUCUGAAACACUACAUAUUCAAAUGAGUAUGAGUAACAUAGAUAUGGCUAUUGGGGAAAUGAGGUUUGAAUUAAUGAUAAUGGCAGGCUUCCAAGAUGGGAGUGACGAGCAUAUAUGUUGAUAAUGGGGUUAAUCUGAGAGCGUUGAGACGAGGGCUAACUCAAUUCACUGAAAACCAAAAUGCAUCAGACAAGAACCAGCGGAAAUAGGAUCAUAAUGUACUCCAAAAACCCAAAUUCAUAGGGGAGAAUGGGUUAAAAAUUCAAGAUUAUUUGAAACCAGUCAUUUAUACUUAGAAAGAUUGUUCUUAUUUGCUGCAUACAAAUUACUUUAGCACUUGUGUUAGCGUUGAUAAUGGUUCCGCUCGAAAUGAUUUUGGAACAAAAUUGCAUUACCAUUUAUUAUUUUAGUUUUAAAAAAUCAAAUGGUAAAAAUAAUUGAACCGAAUUGUAUUGCUCAAAAAAAUAAAAAUAAAAUCGGUGUAGUUAAUCGAUUUUUAAAUUUUGCAUUAAAACAAAUUUUUAUACUCGUUAUUCUCAUUAAUUUAUUAUAAAAUGUUCCAUUUUAUUUCAUAAAAAUUAAAAAUAUUUAUAUAUUUUAUAUAAAAUAAAAAUUAAGAGUGUCCUAUAAGUGGGUCUCGCUCAAUAACCGACACUUCUAAUGCCAACUAUUAUGUCCUAUCUAAAGUGAUUAAUAUUGUGUUCAAUCGUCGCCUUACCUAGGGGUGUUCAAUUGGUUAACCGACCGGUUAAUCAACCCGAACUAACAUUAAUCGAAUUAACCAACCCUUUUAAACUCUUAACUGUUAACCGAACCGAAAUUUUUUCAAAAAAAAUUUAACCGAACCAAACUUUUUCGGUUAAUUCGGUUGGUUAACUGAAUUAACCAAAAUUUAUAUUUUUUUUUAUUUUUGGUUAAAACAAGUAUAAAACAUAUAAAAAAUUAACCGACUUAACCGACCGAUUAAUUUAUAUUUCCAAAAAAUUAACCGAACCGACCGAAUACUUAUAUAUUAUAAUAUUAUUUAUUAAAUUCGAUUAAUUCGGUUAGCCGACCGAUUUGGAACCGAAUUAACCGUUAACCAAACUUCCAAAAAAUUAUUAACCGGUCCCUGACCGAAUUAAUUCGAUUAACUGACCGAUUAAUCGAAUUCAAUCGGUUAACCGAAUUAAUUCAGUUUUACCCAAAAUUUGCACACCCCUAGCCUUACCUAAAACUAUGAUGGCUAACCAAUUGAUCAACUUGUCUUUGGCCGAUCUAGGGGAAGAUGACACAUGGCACCUUAAGAUCAUAGAGAAGGGUAUAUAAACCCUUAGUUCUUGCCUAGAAAAUGAUCCAUUUUCCUCUCUUCUCUCUUUUCUCUUUUCUUCCUUUCUCCCUCCUCCUUCCCCUCGACUCUAUCAAUUACCAUAGCCAGGCUACCGCACACAACAGCUCUCCGCCUUACUUUAAGCAAUAUCCUCACAGGUAAAACUCAAGACAAAACCAAUAUCAUAUCCACCUUACUUGAUUCUUAUAUCAACAAUUAGUACAGUAAGUGUGGGCCACUUUCAUUGCAAUAUUUUCCUGAUGCAACAUUCCUACUGGUCAAACUCAAGUCUAACCCAAAAUACUAAUCAAACUUAGCCAAAUCAAAACUUUGGAAGUUAUUAUUACUAUGGCACCCGACACUUUACUCGGCCGGUGGGUCUAAAAGCAAGAUGUCACCCUCUGUUGCUGGAGCAACUCAGACUAUCCUCACUUGCUUCAUUGAAGCUAAACACACAAGUGUUGAAAAAAAUCAUAAUUAUCCAUAUUGUCCAAGUGAAAUACACGUGAAAGAGGUCAAAUGGGCCCACAAGUAAUGACCUGGGGAUAUAUGUGGUCAAUUACGAAGUCAAGAUGCAAGUCUUAACUCAAAGUGUCAAAAUGGAGGGCUUUAUCUUAAUACCUUAAGGAUAGGUCUCAAUACUUGCCUCCUUUUUUUUAGAACCUCAGUUUCGAUGUUUUCAGGUCUCGAUACUUUAGUCUCAAGUCUCAAUACCUGAGAUACAACAUUUUUAAUUUAGUUUCGAUGUUUUGAGGUCUCGAGACAUGGGGUUUAUGUUUUGGUCAUAAGUGCAAAGCCCAAAGCCAAAAUAUCAUAGGGUAAACUUUAUGUUUUGGCCAUUAAACUAUUCAAAAGUUUUCAUUUAAGUUAUUAAGCUGUUAAUUGUUGAUGUAUGGCCUUCUUUUUUCGCACCACUUGCACUAAUCGAAAGCUCUCUUUCCACUUCUCUUCUACAGUUCAGUCAUUUUCUUUAAAUAACUUUGAAUGUCAUAAAUCUAUGAACCAAAAUACAAACAACUUGAAUAUACGGUAUGUUCUUUUACUUGUUAAUGUAUUUUAAUUCACCAUGCCAAUUAUAAAAUCGUGCUUAGAGUUCGCUAGCCCGACUUAGAAAAAACUUAAUAGCUGAAUGACUUAAAUAAAAAAAAUUGAAUACUUUAAUUACUUACAUGAAAAUUUUCGAAUAAUCUAAUAAUUUUAUAACAUUUUAGAAUUAAAUAGUCAAAAUGUAAAUUUAUUAAUAAAUUAAUCGCAUCAGUGUAGGUUACCGGAUAUUAUAGUUCCGGUUGCGGAUUUUAGCGGUUGGUUGGCGAGGGCGGGAUAAUUUCACCUUUGGGCCGGCGGUUAAAUUUCACUGGCACUUGUCGGUUGUCGAAUGGAACUACAGAUUCGUGACGGUUAUGCUUGCGUAUCCAUCUUGUUUUCUGAUAACUGUGUAUCCAUUUUUUAUUUCGUCGAGAUGCGGUCCGCAGACUAAAAACAGUUCUGACCGUUAGAUUUCAUCUUAUCGAACGAUCAGUAAUUGACUGUUCAUAUUUAAUUAAAAAGAUUAUCAGUGAGUGAGUCAGAGUGAUACGUUAGCUACUAUCAUUAAAAGAAAAGAAUGUUUUGAUUUCGGAGCAAUAAUUGAGGGAAUCAGAAAAUGGAGAAAACUGAUGGAAUUGGGAAAGAACAUGGAAGCACAGAAGAAAAUCAAAGUUUCAAAGAUGGAUCAAUUUGUGGGUAUAAUUCGCUUCACCACCUCUUGAGCGCAAAUCUCAAGCCUCAACUCUACCAGGUCUUUUCUUUUUCUUUUUUCCCGCUUUCCGAGUUGUAAUUUAUCUGCCUUCACUUUGUUGAUUUAAUUGGGUAUUUUUGUUUUUCUUAAUCUGGCCAUGCACUGGGCAAAAAAUUCCAAUCUUUCCUGUUAUUUUUCUUGCUUAUAUAUAUAUAUAUAUAUUGUAAAAGCAAAUUUAAUCAUGAAAAAGGAAACCCCAGUUCAAAUUGUCUAUUAUGAAUCGAUUGGUUAUUGUUAUUUUGGUCAGUUUUUGCCACUGAAAUGAUCAUUGCAGUCGAUCCUAGAAUUUGUAAACAGUUUAUCUCAUUAACAAGUAACAUGUUUUGCCUAUUAAAAGUCAAAAUCUACUGAUCUUAUUGCUGAUGAAAGUAACAAUCUUUUGGAAUUUUGUUAUGGUUUAUUAACAGGAAGUCAGCCGGUUGCUUCUGGGGCUGAAUUGCGGAAAAGCACUUGAAACUAUUGUUCCACCUGAAUCAGCUAAAGCCCUCUCUUCAAAACAUGAUUUUGAUCUUCAGGUGCCUAUUUAUUUAUCCAACAUUACUGCAUUAUAACGAUUCGUUGAUAUAGAGAUCCAUCAUCUUAGCUCAUCAAUAUUGGAAAACAAUAACCACAAGGUUGGCCUGGCUGAAAUCGUAAUACUCUUAUAAAACAAUCAAAGUGAAGGAACAAUAUAUGUUUUGGACACGUUAGAUAUACAAGGCACUACCAUGCAUUUUGACUGCAACUGAAGAUUAUGUUAAUCUUUAGGCAGGGUUAGUUAAUCUAUGUCAUAUGUUCUGAUAUUUGUAUGGAAUAUUUUUCUUCCUCCAUUUUCCGCCUUUUCCAGUUUCUAGUUCAUACAUUUGAACAUUUGGUUAUAACACUUCUAAUGUAUAAUUUUAGUACUACCAGGAUCUCCUUGAAAUAUGUUGAUUUUCAUUCAAUCCACUCUUAUCUAAGUGGUUGAAAAACAUCCCUUUUCUCAUUACAAAAUUAUUCUCUUACCGACCUGACCUGAGCAUACUUGUAGCUAUUAUCUCCGUAGAUUUUUGUUAUUAAUACAAGUAUAUUGUAGAAGGCAGUUAUAUGUGCUUUUCCAUUUCAAAUCAUUCCAGGCUUUCAAAUUUUCUGCUGACAAAGAGUUGUUAAGAGAACCCCGGGUAGUAAGGGUCGGUCUUAUUCAGAACUCCAUUGCUCUCCCAACCACUGCUCCCUUUUCAGACCAGAAAAAAGCUAUCUUUGAGAAAUUGGGACCAAUAAUUGAUGCUGCUGGUGCUUCAGGAGUCAACAUACUAUGCUUGCAGGUAUGGUCAAUUUUAUUGAUCGUUGCAUAAUAUUCUGAAAAGCAAAUUAAUGAGUCUAUGAUGCAAGUUCAGGAAGCAUGGAUGAUGCCAUUUGCCUUCUGUACACGAGAAAAGAGGUGGUGUGAAUUUGCAGAACCUGUUAACGGGGAAUCUACACAAUUUCUUCAGGAAUUUGCACUCAAGUAUAACAUGGUCAUUAUAAGCUCAAUUCUUGAGAGGGAUAUAAAUCAUGGAGAGACUCUCUGGAAUACUGCUGUUAUAAUUGGAAAUCAUGGCAACAUAAUAGGCAAGCACCGUAAGGUAAAUGCAGUAGUUUAUCUGGGUUUGGGCUUAUGUUUCUUGGAAUUUUUAUUGAUUUUGCUUAAUUGACUGGCUUCUGGCAGAACCAUAUUCCUAGAGUUGGGGACUUCAAUGAGAGCACGUAUUAUAUGGAAGGAAAUACCGGGCAUCCUGUAUUUGAGACUGCUUAUGGGAAGAUUGCUGUUAAUAUAUGUUACGGAAGGCACCAUCCUUUGAAUUGGCUAGCUUUUGGUUUGAAUGGUGCUGAGAUCGUUUUCAACCCAUCAGCCACGGUUGGUGAACUUAGUGAACCGAUGUGGCCCAUUGAGGUUAUUCUUUACCCUCAUUUCAUAUAAUACUUAACUAUCUAAAGAUUGGAUGUGAUACUGAUUUAGUAGAGAGUCAUUUAUGUAAUAUUACAAGUGCAAAUGACAUUUUGAUACAGAUGUUAGCAUUAUAUCAGUUAAUGCCUGCCUACCACUGAACUGUCUUCUACAAGUCGUUUGACAUAUUAUUCCUUUAUAUUACAGGCACGUAACGCUGCAAUAGCAAACAGUUACUUUGUUGGGUCAAUCAAUCGUGUAGGGACUGAGAUUUUCCCCAACCCAUUCACCUCAGGGGAUGGAAAGCCACCACAUCCAGAUUUUGGCCAUUUCUAUGGAUCUAGUCAUUUUUCAGCACCUGAUGCUUCCUGCACACCAUCACUCUCCCGUUAUAAGGAUGGACUGAUGAUCUCAGAUAUGGAUCUUAACCUCUGUAGGCAACUGAAAGACAAAUGGGGGUUCCGAAUGACUGCAAGAUAUGAGUUAUAUGCAGAUACGCUUGCCAGUUAUCUGAAACCAGACUUUGAACCCCAAGUCAUCUCUGAUCCCUUGUUACAUAAGAAGUCUUUUUAAGUACCUGUCUUCUUAAGUUCCAGGUACUAAUUGCAGCUUAAUGUAUGAAGUUAAUAAAUGGAGAUGAAAAUAGAAACUGUAUUGAUUUAUCAUAUUGAAUCAUCCACAAGAACAAGUUCGUUGUGUUUGUAAGUAUUUGUGCCCUUUUCUGUUUUCAAUGAGUCAGCAAUUUCUGAUCACUCCACCAGCUUCCAUUUUUAUUAAGAUGAAGAAAAAGGAAUCUUGGUGUCUGCGUUUGGUGAAAAAAUAUAAAAUGAAGUGGAAUGAAUGUCGACAAGCUCACCGACUCUCUUUUUCCCUCUUUUUUCUGUUUCUAUAAAAUCUUCCAAGUCUCAUCAUCUAAGCUUAUCCACAAUUAAAAGUAUAUACAUACAUAUAUAUAUCUACUACUUAAACAGACUUUUCAAAGCCUUUUUAGAAGCAGAGAGAUAAAGUGAGAAAGAGAGAUAAUUGUGCUUAUUAACAACAAAUACACGGCAUUAUAAUUUUGAAGGCCCACUGUGUAAGAGUAAAUGUUCAACUUAACAGUUCAUACAUACUUGAUCUCUAUCCAAAAGAAACUCGAGCUUCUAAAUUCAAGAUACGCUAUUUCAGGCUUCCUACUAGCUUAUGAACUUAUUUUAAAGCACCAAAUAAGACUUCAUUUGCAAUCUUGGCUCCCCUUUCUUUUGCCAUGUAUAGCCCUAUAUGGUGCAUCAAUUCCUGCAACAUUAAAAGCAGCAGCAUUCAAGUUAUUCUUGAUGCAUAUGGUGUGGGGAUCUCUUGUUUCCAUGUAACAAUUUGGGACAUUUUAAGAAACGAAAUACCUGAGGGUGAGGCAGAGCUCCUUUUGUGUUUGUGGCGAUGUGAAGAGGAACGUCAAAGGUUGCACAGGCACGCGAAUACACGAUAACAUCCUUGAGCGGAGCCAGAAAUCCUCGAUUCCUCACUGAUAAUGUCGAACACACGAAAUCCAGCACACAUAUAUCUGUGCACACCCCUACUACCAAUAUCUGCAACCAUCAUAAUCAUGGUUUAUAUAAACUCAUCAUAUCCAACAAUUGAUUAAACAAGCUCCACACUAGGGUUCUGAUUUGUUUUGCCACUGAAAACAAGUUCGAGGCUGCAAUGUAAAACCAUUCUUGACACUAGUAUACGCUACUAAAAUCUUCAAACGAGUUCUUACAGCUUCAAUGUGAUUGUUCUUCACCCAAUCCGCAAAAACAUUUGAACCAUCAGCUUCCAUGGAACCCAGAUACCCAUCAUAGCAAUCUUUCCGCCUGAUUGUCACGUUUGUUUCGUUUUGUAUCCAUUGCAAAGCUGCAUUUUAUUUAUUUGUUUUGCAGAAUCUUGAUUUAGAAAUUCGUUAUAUAAAGCUAAAAAGGGAGAAGUAAAUAUAUAUAUAUAUAUAUGUAGGUACCUGGAACCAAAUUAGAUUCAUCGGUGCCUUGAAUGCAGUGAGGAGGAUAAGGAUCCUCGGGCUUGUCAGGAUGAUGAGAAUCAAGAAACGCCAUAACAGGCAAUUUCUUGUCGCAGAAAAGUCUUGCCAGCCUCACUGAUUCGCUGAUCAUUCCUGAUAUUUGUCUGUUGGGUUCUCUUGGGGCCUAAAACCCAUAAUAUUAGUGCUAUAAACUUUUCCUGAUUCAAUGCACAAAGCAGAUCCUGCAUACAUCCUCUUCGACAUAUACAUGCGUGUGUAGUUUAAGGAAUCGUUUAUUACAUCACAACUUAAUCGAGUUGAUUCAACUAUUGUUUUUUUAAAGUUAGCAUCUAACAUAUGUAAAUUCGAAUACUUGUAACAAAAUAUAUAUCAAUAGUUCAAGGGUCAGGCACUUUACCAGGUUUCCAGCACCGACAGUGCAGAAGCCAUUGAUGAUAUCGACAAGAACAAGGCCAGUGACAACAUCUUCAGGCAAAACCACAAGCUCCUGCUCUAGAGGCAGCUCGUUCUUCAACACAUCAAUGGUUUGGGACACCAUUUUUCGAAAUUUAGUAACAGGUGACCUCGAAAUUACAAAACCAAAGUGAAGGAGUUUCAGUAGAGCAACUUCAGUUAUAUUGAAUUUUGAAAACGGUAGCCAUGCUAAGCUCCAAAAAGAGCCUGAAAAGUAUCUCAAUUAUUGCUGUAUUUCAAAAGAGGUUGUAUCAAAGGAUAAGACGUGGGGAUCUAUCCAAAAUAAUUUUCGAGCUUCAGUUUCAACUUUUAUCGAUUAUACUAGUUUCAGCCGUCAUGCUUGGCUACAUUUGAUUAUUAGAAGGAUACAUACGGCAUAAAUAAUUAAAUAUAGUAGGAAUAGCUUCAACUUUUUGUGCUGCUUUGGAUGAAAAGUCUUAUUUCAACAGAAAAUAUAUAUUAUGGCACAAUUUUAAAUUAAGAUUUUUUUAAGCUCAGCUGAUUCAUUCCAAUUUGAUAAAAAAAAUUUAUUUAUAGAUUCCUACAUUCAAGUUUAAGCUUCAACUUGAAUUAAAUGUCUUUUGCAUAUAAAAUUUAUAUAUUAAUUAAAGUUAAUAUAUUACUUAUACUAUUAAUAAAAUCUAUGAUUGAGUUGGUGUUACGGAUUAACUGAGUACCAACUUAGUUAUUGCGUGAUGGAUGUGAAGAAGUGAACCAUUAUCUCGGCGGUAAUGAGCCAAGCUAGUAUUUGCAGUGAACCCACCUCUUAAGUAGUCAUGCAUUAUGAAAGGAACUCUUAAUUCUCUAACACACACAGCGCUUUUGAUCAUUUCUUCAUAUGUACCUGCAGUAGGAAAUGAUUAAUAUAUCCUUUUAUUAAAGGGUUACUAUUAUUAUUUUGAUGAUUUUUUUUUAUUUUUUUCAUACUUCUGCAUAUUUUUUAAAUAAAAUAACUAAAAUUAAGAUAUUUAAUAGUUGAACACAUGUUUAAUAAAUUUAUAAACAAAUAUUUUACUACUACUACAAUAAUAAUUCAUGAUUAAAUUUUUAAAAGAUUACUUUUAACAUAAAAUGUUUUUUCUUACCAGAUUUAUGUAUCUAUACUAUUUAUAAAACCCCUGACUAAGUUGGUAUCAUGGAUUAACCGGGUACUAAUAUCAGUGAGUACUGAGCUUUCACCAAAAUUAAAACAUUGUGAUUAUUGAGUUAGUUUUCUCUUUAUAAAAAUGUUAAAAUUUAUAUAAUGAAAUUGUUAAUGUAUUUAAAUUUAUAUAAAAAUAAAAUAUGAUUAUUAUAUAAGAUGAAUGUAAGACAUUGACACCAUAUUUGGUUCGUGUGAAUAUGACCUUAUUUAGCUCGAGUUCACAAUACCAUUACUUGCUUGACUAGAUUAAUUAAAUGGCAGGAUAGGUAUCUUAUAAUAGCCAUUCAACAUUAUUACCAAAGAAUAGUUGUAGUUGGACAAAACACGUUAGCAAAUAAAAUAAAUAUAUAUAAAUAUAUAAAAAAUAAAAUAUAAAUAGAAUGAUUUAUAUUUAAUUUAUCAAAUACGAAAAACAAUCAAAACCGUAACAAAAGUUAAAAUAAAAAAGAAGAAUAGAGUUUUUACUAAACGUUGAGGCCUGUUGAAAAACAGUUUUCUUAAGACAAAUUUGGCCACUCCUACAGUACUUGGAGAAAUGUAGACAAAAUCUGCAUUAAAGGAGCAAUUGAAUCAAUUUGAUUAAAAUCAAAUCAAAUUGAUUAAAAUUAUCUCCUACUCGUAUCGAAUAGAACAUGUUGAGACAAACCUUCUUCAUGUAAAACAUGUUUGAUUUAGAUCGAGAGAAUCGUACGGUUUUAUGAAAUCAUGUGUAUAUGGAUCAAAUCCGUAGUCAAUCCUAUUUCCGAUAGGAGCAGUUGACAAUUGAAUCUAACUUUUUCCAUUAUUUUCGUAUCUGUAAUAGUGCGAAAGGAAAGUCUGGCUCCAAGUUGUUCAAGAAUAGUGGCGUUGUUAAGUUUCUCAAUCCUUUGACUUAGGAUUAGUCAGUUCUAUAUCUUGACGGGGGCAGGGAAGGGAUAUAACUUAGCGUUAGAGUGUCACCUUGAUGUGGUGGAAGUCAUCAGUUCAAGUCUGAUUAUCCAUAAACCUAAUGUGAGUUUUUCUAUUUUGCCUUGCCCCUCGCCGUGAUCGAAUAAGAAUGGAUAAGAGGCUCAUGGGAUUGAUGUGAGGGGGUAAGGAUGACUAUAUUUCUGGGAGAGAACUCCAGGUGAAUAUGAAGCGCAUAGAUACAAGUUAUGCCUUGGAGUGAAAGACAAUUCUGAACCGGCUUUGUCUACGAACAAGAAAGCUAUAAGUAAUGCAACUAUCCUUUUAUAUCAAUAUAUUUUGUAGGCAAACUUAAAUUUCGUGUUGGACUAAAAUAUUUGUAGGCUAAUUACGGGCCCGACCGAUCAAAAUAUUUUUGCAUCACCUACAUCGGUGCUCCCAACCCCAUCAAGUUUAAACCUACAUCCCCUUUGUGCACAAGACAAAGUUCCAAGCUUAAUCAUUCAAUCAUCUUUUAAGAGGGUUCCCAUAUAUAAACACAUCUCAUACUUGAUAUUUAACCAAUGUGGGAUCUAAGCUUUUCUUUUCCUCAACAAAUAUUCCUAAGUAGCUUACUUUGAGCAUCAAUUUCUCAUUCAUCAUUCAACCAUUUUGAGCAUAUGAUAUAUCAUUGUAAAGGUCACAUGGAGUAGAAUAAGAAACUAUAAUUUUAUGAUUCAACUCUCCACCUUUAUCUAUUGAGAAUAUGCCUCAAAGUUCCCAAAAAAAAUGUAAUUUUUUCAACAGUUAUUUUGGCCUUUCAGAAUAGCCACCAAUUUUUUUUAAAAUGCUUCAAACUAAAAACAUUAUUCUAACCAUAAUUUCAACAAUAGGAUACUGCUAUAGUAACAAAAUUAUUUUUUUCUAGAAACAUAAACAUCAUAAAAGAAGAAACUUAGGCUGAUGUUGAGUUUGAUUGAUUUGAAAGGAUUUAGGGUUCAAUUUUUGUGGAGGGAAAGGAUGAGGAAGAAUAUAUAUAGCAAUCAAGUGGUGGCCAACUGUGGAAUGAGGAUUGUCUGUUGUUUUACAUUCAAAUUGCAUGUGCAGGGAAAAACUAAUUAGAAAAUUGGAAAGAGAGAUAGAGGAGAUUACUCCUAAAGUUCAAGAAUCCAAGUUGUUUCUAGACUCGAAGAAGUUUGAUCGAAUUUUCCUUGAAAAUCAACUUGAAAGAAAUUGCUUGGAAUUGCUUUCUUGAUCUGAAAAAAAACUGAAGAUUGAAUGUAAAUAAGUCAAGAAAAACAAACCAAGUAAUAAAAUAACCAAAAACUGAAAUAAGUGAUGAGUUAUGGCAGUGGUUGAUCCUGAGACUAAGUUUUGGGGGUUUAAUAAAAUUUUCAAAAAUUUUAGAAGUUCAAUCAGUUUUUUUUAAAAAAAAUGGGGGGUCUAAUUGAAAUUUUUAAAUUUUUUGUGAGAUUAAUAAGAAUUUUUAAAAAUUUGAGACCUAAUUAAAAUUUCCAAAACUUUAAGAGAAAAAAAUUAAAAUUUCCAAAAAUUUUGGGGCCUAAUUAAAAUUUUAAAAAAAUUCAAGGGAAAAAUCAAAAUUUCCCAAAAUUUUGGAGGGACUAAGGUCCCUUAGGCCACCAUAAGGAUCUGCCUCUAAGUUAGGGAAAGAUGAAACUGAUUGAGAUGGAUAAAUGGAUAAGAUGUCCAAUGGGGCCAUUCGAGAUAAAAUUAUCCUAACAAACUCAAUUAUUGGCUCUAAUUAUUGACAAAUUGAAGUUUUAAGAACUUUCUCCAAAAUCUUGAAUAAAAUUAAGUAAAAUUUUUUUUUGAAAAUAAACAAGAAUUGAAUAUUUCAAAAGAAUAACUCCAUCGAGUACUUGUCUUAAUUUCAAAGAAAGAUUUAAUUUAUAAUGAAUGAAUGCCUUUAUAUAGACUACAUAAAUUGGCAAAACAAGACGUAGUUUUAGUUGAACUAAAAUUUCUUGUCAAGUAGAAAACAUAAAAACUUCUAAACAACUUAAAAGACUUAAAAAUCUCUUAAAAUUCGAAAUAAAUAAAUACUUAAAACAUAAAACUUAAUAAAUACAAUAUUGAUAUUAUAUAUAAUCAAAAUUAAACAUUAAAAGUAAGCCCAAUAUGGAUUAAACACGAAUCUAAAGUCCAAUAAUUGAGUUUUUAAAAUAGUCAAUUUAAAGCAUUUGAUUAUUUUAGAAGAAAACUUUGUUAAUUACCAAUUUAUUUAUUACUCAAAAUUUUAAUUAUAAUUAGCAGCGGAAAAGUGAUAUUUACUAUGUUUUUAAUAAAAAUCGGAGUUCAUGCCUAACUAAUUAAUAUUCAUAAGUUGAUAUCCUAAAUCAAAUUAAAUGUAGUGCAAGCUAUAUAAAAAAAAAUCCCAAAUCCUAUGUCCCAUGCCACAGUUCAAAACAAAAUUAUAUAGUCUCUAAAUAAUAAAAAUAUCAAUUAAUGGAUCUAAAACAUUUUAAUAAAUAAAACCGAGCCAAGACCCUCUGGAUGCCUUGUUCAUGUCCUAAUCUGGUGGGUUAUCUGUAGAGAUGGAAAUAAAAAGGGGUGAGCUAUGAAGCUCAGUACGAGUCCUAUCACAAGUGAACUAGUGCAGAACAAUAACUAAGCAUACAAUUUAACAGUUAUCAUCACAUUAACAUUCAUAUAGGAUAAUAGUAUUUAAACAAUUCACUCAGCAUGCUUUAAGAAUGUCAAUACAAAUGCGAUUUCAAUUUAACGGGAAUAAUCCUACCCAUACUCCACUACACUCCUCAGUAAGAGUUCCCUAGAACUCUUCCAGCCGUAACACUCCAGUUUGUGGCUGAGCCACCAAGGUUGCAGGUUAAUAUACUGCUAGUAGUUGUGAUUACACAACGAGUUUGCAGAUAAAAGAUGCUAGAUGAAUUAUGGAUACCACCAGUGUUUGCAAGUUAAUACGCUGCCAGUACUUGUGAAUACACAACUUAGUUGCAGAUUAAAGCUACUGGUAUAAAUUGUGGAUAAACCACCAGUGUUUGCAAAUUAUUAAACUGUCAGUACUUCCACCAUACAAUCGUCCCACCCCAUGCAAUACAGUAUGUCAUGCUUGCAAUAGUAUAAUGUAAAACAAUAAACAUGCUCAUCAUGUUUCUAGUUCAUAAGCAUGCUCAUCAUGUUUCUAGUUCAUCAGUAGCAUUAGUCAUGUUUAUCAUGUAUUCAGUUUAGCAAUAGCAAUAAGCGUGUUGAUCAUGUAAUCGGUGUAUAGUAGUACAAGUAACAAUAACAAUUCAUCAGUUAUUUAGUCACAGUAGGCAUGUAAUAGUCCUAAAUCAUGCAUAUACAAUAGUAAUUUAGCCAAUUAAAUCAUAGAUUCCAACAUUAUUCAUAAUACCAGGGACUCAAUUAAAUGAAAUAAAUCACUAAAACAAAUUGGGGAUCAUGCAAAGUCUAAAUUGAACAGUUUACGAAAAUUCUGGGCAAAAUUUUAAAACAGGGGCAUACGCCCGUGUGGUUAGGCCGUGUGCAAUACCUUAAGUCGUGUGGAGGGGUUACACGGUCGUGUAGCUAGGCUAUGGCCGUGUGGGACAUGCAAAAUUAGGCUUUAAGGGAGACACGACCGUGUGGGAGGUUGUCUGGAGGGUCAUAGGCCAUGUAAUAAUCGAAUAUCCUAGGGUUUCAAGAGAAACAUGGUCGUGUAAGGGAGUCAUGUGGUCCAUACUGUGGCCCUAUUUUGAGGCACGAUUUGUCCCAAUUAGCUCUAAAAAGAACACUUAAAAGGAAAAAAAAAACUUAAAACGAAAAAAUAUGAAGACCAAUUAACUAAAAUUUUUGUUUGAAAUGAUGAUUUAACGUGCCAUGUCAGCUUAACAUUACACCGUUAACAAUAAUUAACGGCUCAGUGACUAAAAUGUAAUUUAAAAAAAUAAAAGUGACUGUUUUGAUAGUUUACCCUUAUUUAAAUGAUAUUGGGAUAUUUUUAGAAAAAAAAUGGAAUAGUACCUUAAAAAAGAAAA
rnacentral:lncRNA from 1 species